GCGCUCCCCCUCUCCUCGCCGCCGCAGCUACCCCUCCACCGGUGCCGCGCGGCGGCGGAGGCCUCGGACGCCGCCGCCGACCCCUCCGACUGGUUCCGGCCCCGGCGGUCGCCGGAGCCCGACGCGAGGAUCGCGGCGCGCGACCCCGGCGUCCGCGUGAACGCCAAGGAGGAGGCCAAGGACGGGGGCGGGGGGCGGAAGCAGAAGAAGAAGUGGUGGUGGUGGUCUCGCGAUCGCGAGAGCUACCUCGCAGACGACUCCGACGCGCUACCGCUCCCCAUGACCUACCCCAACUCCUCCCCGGCUCCGCCCGAGGAGAUCGAUCGCCGCCUCAAUUGCGAUCCCGAAGUUGAGGUUAGUAGUCACCGAAUCCAUCUACCGGCUAGGUUAGGGUUCUUGUCCGUGUUCAUGUGUUUUGAUCGUGGUUUGAUUUGCCUUCAAUGUGAAAGGAUUGUAAAGAGGUGGUGUAUGAGUGGACGGGGAAGUGUAGGAGUUGCCAGGGGACGGGAUUUGUGAGCUAUUAUAACAAGAAGGGGAAGGAGACCAUCUGCAAAUGUGUUCCUUGUCUUGGAAUUGGUAUGCUUCAUUUCUCCUCCUACAAGUUACUUUAUUUUGUUGGGUUUUGUAGAAAUUGGUAGUUAUCUUAUGGCAUCCAAAACUAUGAUUUGUUUAUGCUACAUUGUUUAGCACAAUCACUUCUUUAUAAGUGUAUUGGUUGCUGGAGAUGUGGCAAAGACUAAUUCGUUGUUUCAAAGUCCGUAGUAGGACAGAUGCAGAGCAGUGGUUUAUGAAGGAAAAAGAAAAUUAUAAGUAUCUUCAAAAUAAACAGUUUACCAACCUACAUUCAUCAGGGGAAAGGGUAAAUUGCUCCAGGGGUUUCAAACUUUUAAAGUGGCUUUAGUUUGAAAGUUGUUACAAUUGUUUCGUUCGUGAUCCUACCUGCUGAAAAAAUAGUCUCUUUUUAAUAGAAAAUUAGAAAUUUGAUCAACUAAUGAGCAAUGAGAGAUUUUUAAUAUGGAAGUUACGCACAUAUGUUUGUGGCUUCUGCACUAUGCACUGCCUUGGCUAUUUUGUGGGUACAUUUUGGAAUUUGGGCGUUCAGUGAAAACAACUAUAAAUAAUCAGCAUUUUCUACCAGAAAUUUCUUGCCAUUCUGCAUCAUGCCAAAUUUGGUUUAUGCUGAGUGAAGCUUGUGCCAAGUUGCAAUUCGAGGCUUGUGGUCAAGUUCUGUGGUUAGCUAUGGCUUCUCAAAUCCUUUGGCCAACAAGCUGAUGGAUCUAAUGUACAAACAUUUGUGAAGUUGUUUGGAUGGAGCAAAUUUUUGAAGUGGAUUUGGCCAUGUGCAUGUCAGUUAUUGAUUUUGUGGCAUUGGCUUUCUGCUGUGCUUGCAUUUCAGAAUUUUUAAAUUCUUUAUUCUAUCAUUAUUCUUAAAUAAAUUUGCUUAAUCAUUAAUUUCUGAUCUUCAAUCAUAUGUUUAACCAACCUGUUCUCAGUAUAUUAAUUUUUUCUGUUGAAGACAACUGAAAUGAGCAGAUCACUAAAUUGUGCUAUUAGCUGAUUGUAGAAUUCAAGUUUUAGUUUUUGAUCAGUUUUUGGUGAUAGUUUGUUCUGGGCCUGUUGGUUGCUUUCUUUUCUUAUAGUACAAUAAAACGCCAUCUUCUUUAAUCAUAGGGAGAGAUAUAUGUUUUUUUUUUUUUUUAAUUCUGAAUGAAAUGUAACUGUUUAAUUGUUUGUUUGAAAUUAAUCAGUCAUACUCAAUACUCAUUUGUACAGCCACAACAUUUUACUGAGCUGUUAUAAUAUAGACAUGUACCAGAAAACAAAUUGUGCAUUGAUGAGUUACCAAAAUUUUUGUGAAUUCCAAUAUGGAUCGGGAUGGGCUCCACUUUUAUGCUCAAUUCCUCAUGUGUUUAUAAUACAUUGUGAACUUUUGUAUGUCGAUCUCCAUGGUAGGCAUUGUCUUUCAAGUUAACGUUUUAUUUUGCCAGAAUCUGGAACUAUUUCACCUCUUUCAUUGUUUGUUGCUUCUGUGGAAACUGAUUUUGCUCUAAUGGCAUAUUAGUUAGUACAACAGGAUACUUUAGAGCCACUGAGGCUCAAAUAGUCUAUCAGGUAGUCUUUCUGGUGCAGUUGCAAUAGCUCACAUUGAUUCAAUUUAAAUAUAAGCAUCUGGUGCAAAAACAACUUUGCGUCCUGUCAACCCGAAAGAGUGCCUCAAAAUAUUGGUUUUAGUUAGAGAUAAGAGAAAGCUCAUCCUAAUUCUUUGAUCAUCUUGUUAGCGGUGCUUUUUCUUGUUGAUCAUGUUGUAUAUUUUUGAGGAAGAAAUAAUAAAAUUUUUUGAGGGGAUUGACUAAGUCAUAUCUUUUUUUAGCUUCUGUUUUAAGUGUUUUGUCUCCCUGAUAUAGUUAAUUAACCUUUUAGCUUUCAUCUAUGUUUUGUUUCUUUCCUGGCAUGUUAGCAUAUCUCAUCCGCCUUUUUAUUGCUAUCUUUUACAUCUUUAUUUCUUGUUCUUUUUGUUUCGUUCUCGAUAACAUAGGGAUGAACAGGUUCUGGAUUCCUCUUUGUUAGUUCCUAAUGAAUCGCUUUUGCUGUUGGUUCUUCAGGCUAUGUCCAGAAAUUUACAGUCCGCAAGGACAUUGAUGUGAUGGAAGACCUAGACAAAGGCAACGGGAAACCUCCUUAAUUGCUGCUCCGAUUCUUCUCUCUUGCUGUUGAUCGGUAAGUUUUGGUUAGUGAUCCUUACAAUUUUCAAGAGCACGAGUGUUGCAAUAUUUUCUCAUUGCAGGGAAUCGUUCUCUUUUUGUACUCAAUUUUGUAAUAACAAUUUAUACCGCAACUACUCGCCUACAGUUUCUUACGGCCUCUCUGUUGUGGGAGCAUAAUUCCACGUUUAAUCUGUAGCAUACCUGUUGUGAUUGAGGAGCUGUAUACAUUUUAUGUUAUAUUUAAAGGGAAGCAAAUCAUUGAAGUUGAGGACAACUUUUUUUUGCUAAUAAAGAAAUUCUUACAUGUGUUCUUGGAUGUCACUAAUGAUCCCGCACAAUCUCUCGCCUUCUUAUAAUCUCUUGGUAUUUUAUCUAUCUUCCGCAUGUGUGUUGUCACGCCCCAGGGUCCCUUUUCAGUUUAAAAUAGGGCUAAACUCUUAACCCGGCUUAAGUAUUUUGGGUGGUGGCAAGGCCCAAGAGGUUAAGAGAGUUAAGCGUCCUAGGACGGGAGCAGUCCUAGGAUGGGUGACCCCCUGGGAAGUUGGGGUGUCACAUGUGUCGUGUAUGGGACUUUUUAUCGUGCAAUGUUUUGCACUGUGCCUUGCUCGGAAAUUCGGAAAAAAUACAAUCUAAGGUGUUGAAUGAGGGGAAAAUCCUAAUAUUUACUUGCAUUGUGUUUUAUUCACGCUAAAUCCUAAUAGUUUUUUGUAUGUGUAUUAAUAUAUUAUUAUUAUCGAAUAAUAUUCAAAUAUAAAUUCGAUUCCUAUUCGAAUUUGCCUAAAUAUCCAAUUGUAUCUGAACCUGUUUCUUAUCCUACAAAAAUUUAUUAUCCGAAAUAUAUAUCUAAAUCCCAAUUCAAAGCCCCAAAAAACAAACGUACCUGGCCGUUUUCACCGAUGGUUUUGAGGUACUCUCUCUCUCUCUCUCUCUCUCUCUCUCAUGCUUCUCAUUUUUAAACUCUUUGCAUCUAGCUUUUGAUGUAUGUUUCCACAACUCGGAGAAAUAAUUGCUUUUUCACUUAUAUGAUAGUUGAAUAAAAUAAUUUAUAUUUUUAUAAUGUAAUAUUUUUAUCAUAUGUAUGCCUUAUGAGUGUAUCAGUCUAUAUUAAAUGCCAUAAAUUUAUUAAUCACCGAUUUAUUCUUGUAUGGUUGCAAAAUUAUUGUACCAAAUCAAAUACAUUAAUGUAGUAUCAGUAAUAAUUUGAUCUACAAAAAUUAGAUUCUUGAUUAUGUUGAAAAAAAAUGUUGCCUAAAGCGAAGCACACAUUCCCUAUAAUUCAAAUGAGGAAUUCUUUCUAAGGAAAAGUUUCAUAUAUCCAAUAUUACUUUUAUUUUCAGAUAAUAGUGAAGCCUAAAUAUGCUAGAAGAUCUGGAAGUAUUAUUCCCGUUAGCUUCAUAGUCAAGAAGUACUUCUCUCUUUUAGAAAGGUGCAAAACUCCUCCUACUCCUACGUACUGAUAUGUUGGUCUAUACUGUUCGGAAUAAUCAGCAUGCUAGUAUAGCAACAGCCUUUAGAAGACAUUAAAUAUAUUAUAACAGUACUUUUAGAAAGCAAACAAAUCUAAUUAAUGUUGAUCCAAAGUUAUAGAGGAUGAUUCCCCAAUCCCCACAAUCUUUAGGGGUGAAUAUAUUCCAUGGAGUGUAACUUGUACUUGACAUACACUUAAUAUUAUGUUCCAUAUGUAGUAUUCGAUACAGUAUUAUGUAGAAAGACCGACCGUCUCUAGAGUAAGUGGUAAAGGAUUUGAUGGUUGAUACCCGAGAUUCCAAAUUCGAAUCCUAGUUGAUUCACAUUUCUAACUAAGUUUAUGUACUUUAUAUAGAAAGAAAAAAAAAAAAGUCAAAGAAAGGUAUAGAAAACUAACUUGAUAGCGAUUAGGGAUAAUUGGAUAACAUUGACCCUUACGAUCCCUUAUUUUUCCGACUAAUUACUCUGUUAGCUAGUACCUUGUGGUUCUUUUUUUUUCUUUUUUCUUUUUUGAGAGAUAGGUAGCAUGCUACCCGCUUCGUUUAUUUCAUUUAGAAAAAACUUAGCUGGAAAUGUGAAUCAACUAGGAUUCGAACUGGAGGCCUCGAAUAUCAACCACUAAGACUUUGCCACUCGCGCUAAGGACGGUCGGUUCUUGUGGUUCAAAUUUAAGUUAAACGAAGAAGGGGUUUUCUUGUGGUAAAUUACACCAGGGGUUUUCUUGGGGUAAAUUGCACCCAUUACGAUCCCUUAUUUUUCCGACUAAUUACUCUGUUAGCUAGUACCUUGUGGUUCUUUUUUUUUCUUUUUUUUUUUGAGAGAUAGGUAGCAUGCUACCCGCUUCGUUUAUUUCUUUUAGAAAAAACUUAGCUGGAAAUGUGAAUCAACUAGGAUUCGAACUGGAAGCCUCGAAUAUCAACCACUAAGACUUUGCCACUUGCACUAAGAACGGUCGGUCCUUGUGGUUCAAAUUUAAGUUAAACGAAGAAGGGGUUUCUUGUGGUAAAUUACACCAGGGGUUUUCUUGGGGUAAAUUGCACCACUAAUCGUGAAACUUUCCAUCAAGUUUAUUUUAAUCUUCAUACUUCCAAUUUCAACAAUUAGUGAUUCCUAAACUCUUCAAAGUGUUUCAAUUUAGUUUUUUCUUUUUUGUGGAUAUUAACUGUUAGAGAAUAAUUAUUACCUACAUCUAAUAUUAAAGAAUAGGGAUUAAAUUAAAGUAUUAUCAAGGCCUCAAAUGUUGAAAUAAAAAAUUUAAGGACCAAAAGAGAACUCGGACUCAAAGUCCAUAGAAUAGAGAGAGAGAGAGAGAGAGAGAGAUACCACCUGUUUUCCAUGUUUAACUUGACUCAACUGUACCAAUCGUUCCUAGCGUAAGCGACAAAGGACUUGAUGGUUGAUACCUAAAGUCCUAAGUUUGAAUUCUGGUUGAUUCAUAUUUGCAGCUAAAAUUUAUUUUUUAAAAAAUAAACGAAAUAGAUAGCAUGCUACAUUUCUCUCUCAAAAAAAAAAAAAUCUUGACUCAACUGUUUAUGGUCCAAAAGGUUUUGAAGCUUGCAGUUGAAUGAUUCUUGGCAUUGCUUCUUGCAGCUACUUGGCAGAGGAUACCAUUCCAAUUCUCAGUGACAUUGAUAGAAUUAGGCCUAGUUUGAUAAUGUGAUGAAACCGGCCAUUUCUAGAGCAAGUAGCAAAAGGUUUGGUGGUUGGUAUUCGAGACCCAAAUUUAAAUUCUAGUUAAUUCACAUUUCUAGCUAAGUUUAUUUCUAAAUAAAAUAGACGAAGCGGAUAGCUUGCUAUCUAUCUCAAAAAAAAAAAAAGAUAAAAGAUAAAAGAUAAUGUGAUGAAUAAAAAUAUAAUUAUCAUUAUGUAUAUCUCUCUAAAUUUAAAAAAAAAUCGUUUUCUCCCGUGAGUACUUUCCAUCAAAUAACUGUUACAAUCAUUAAAUGCCUAUUUUACCUCUUUUUAAAAUGCAUGAAUAACCCUCAACUACAGGCUAUUUCGAAGUAGCCUCAUCAACUGGUCUCUUGUUUAGUUAACAUUAUUUAAGUUUGUAUUAUUUUGAAUUAAGUUAUUCUAAUUAGUUAAGCAAAAUAUUUUAUUAAAUUUAGUGACUUUAAUAGCUAUUAGUUGUUAAUUUUUCUAAUUUUCUUGUGUUAAAUAGUGAUUACAAUUUUAAAUUUAAUGUAGUCGCUCAUAAAUUUAAUAUAAUUUACUUCAAUCAUGUUUAAAAAAAAUUAAAAAGUUAAGGUAUUAUAACAAAAAAAAUUGGCAUUUUGAAAUAUCCCUUCAACAUUAUUUUUUGGUUGAUACUCACCUAACUUUCAAUUUUAUGAUUUGAAUUUUUCUAGUUAGUUAAGUUGUUUUUUUUUAAAAAAAAUCAAUCACUCUAUUAACUAUUAGUUGUUAAUUAUUCUAACUUUAUUUGUUUAAAUAUGCUUAAAAUAUUAAAUUCAACAAAAUCACUUUUGAGUACCAAAAGGAUAUAAAUUUUGAAGGAGGUGCUUACGUGCUUUUCUUGAAAAGGAUAAUAUUCAAUAUGCUAUUCAAAACUUUAAAAAUAUCUUAUUUAUUUUCGUUUCGGAGAGCUGAAACAUUCCUGUUGAUUUUAAUAAAAUUUUUUCAAACAUCUCAAUUUCUGUGGCAACUACCAUAGUAAUUUUAUAAUAUAAAAAAAUACAAGUAUUUUACUUUUUUUUUUUUGGAUUUGAUACAGUAUAUAAAUAAUAUUUUUAGUCAUCAUAUUGUCAAACUAGGCUGUAGCACUAGUGAGACUAGGGAUGCAAAUAGAUCCGAGUUACUGGAGCUUCCGUCCCGAUCGAUCCCAAAUGAAACGAUAAAUGAGAAUAAAAAAAAAUUAAAAAAAAUGUAACUUGCUCUGAAUCCUCCCUAAUUUACCAAGUAAAGAAAGCGGGAGUUUUCUAAUCUAUCAAAAAUCUGUUUCCACCGUGAUUCCCUCAAAUAGAGUGGUAAGUGGGGACAAAAAUAAGAUUAAAAUAAAUCCGUUUCGAAUCCGUCCCGACUCCAAGAACAGUACGAAAGGUGGAAGAGGGGUCCUGCCUCCGGAUCGGCUCCCUUGGCAUCCCUAGGUGAGACCCACUUUCCGGCCACCCUAAACCCCUUUAUAAAUAGCUUAUACCCACUGCCAUGUGCUUUCGAGCACGAACUCGAGCAUUAAGUGAUCGUGAUCAGUGCUCUUUGGAUCAACUCUUAAUAGUUAUCCACUUUGCCAUUAACCAGCCAAAAUCAUGACCGAGGGGGAGUUCCGGGAAUGGCUCCGGCACAUCGACCGGAACAAGGACAGCCGAAUAAGCAUGAAGGAGUUGGCGGCGGGAUUGAAAGAAGCUGGGUUCGGUUUCAAAUGGUGGAGGGCAUGGCGGGCGAUGAAGAACGUCGACAAGGACCGUAGCGGCUACAUCGACACCGACUCAGAGAUUCGGGCCCUGAUGGAGCAUGCGAUGAAGCACUGGGGCUUCGUGAUCAGCAAAGCGAAGGAGUUACAGGACGUAGAUGUCUUGAUUUCGGAUGUUGGAGGGAAGAUGUAGAAGUUAGUUUGCAGUAUUUUGGUUUUUCUGUCUUUGCUUUUUUGUCCUUUUCCUCCAUAUGUAUAAAUCAGUUCGCAGUAUGGUUUUUACACCUUUUUAAGUAGUAAAAACAAUGUUUAGUUUGUAGGAUGAUUUUUCUUCUUUUGUGUGCCCUCCAAUCCAUGUAAUAUAAAAGGACUUUUCUAAUGGAGAUGUGUACUUGUAAGACAACCUCUUUUUUAUUUUCUUAAUUAAAUGGUAGCAUAGAACAUUUUGAGUGGUGAAACAAACCUCUUAAACAAAGAAGAUGAUAAACACAGGCAGGUGUCGCUUUUGAAGUAUUGUAUCCAUGAAUUAACUAGUCCAAUCCCUUCGCCUCAUGCAUGUCAAUAUAUUAACUAUCCAUAAGAACAGCUUGCAGUAAUACUCGUUUGCUUUGGAAUUCAAUGAUUUUUGAGCUUUCCAUAUAUUUCAGAUAUCUUAUAAUACAUAAAAAUUGAAACUUACAUAUAUAUAUAUAUAUAUAUAUAUAUAUAUAUAUAUAGAGAGAGAGAGAGAGAGAGAGAGAGCGCUAGGCUCCUAUGCUUUCGAAAGUACCGGGACCUCCGUACUUGUAAGUUAUUUUCGAUGAUGGGACGUUCGAUUCGGUGAUCGGUUCCGUUAGACAUGAUCUACGUUAUUGGAACUAUCUAGAAACCAAAUUUCAUAAUUUUUUGACUUCUUUGCCUAGUGAGCGAGUAGCCUCAAAAUGAACGGCUGAAAAUAAAAAUCUCAUAAAAAAUAAUAAUAAAGGACUCAAAUUUCAAAUCAGAAGUAUUGAUCUUGCUAUUGAUGUUAAGUAAAAUUUUUUAUUAAAUUUUCAUGAAAUUUGGAUACUUUUAUACUUUUGAACUUAAAAACAUGCUGCAUCGGCCGAUAAAAUAGUCAUUUUUGGGAUAUUUUGAUCGCUUAGUAAAUGAUGUCAAAAAAUUAUAAAAUUUGGUCUCUAGAUAGUUCCAAUAUGGUAGAUUAUACCAAACGGAGCCGAUCGUCAAAUCGGAUGUCCUAUCAUCGAAAACAACUUACAAGCACGGAGGUCCCGGUACUUUCAAAAAUAUAGUAGCAGGACUAAUAUAUCUAUAAUAUAUAUUAUAUAUUAUAUAUAUUAUAUAUAUAUAUAUAGUCUAAUGCUACUAUGCCUAUUAAUAGGAUAAAGCACUGUGUCACUUCAAGUUGUUCUUGAUGAUCGACGAUUCCGAAUCGAUGUGCGAAGAGCGCAUGAAGUUGAUUAGAGUAUUUGAAAUAUCUAGAAAUAAAUUCAUAAAUUUGCAUAAAUGGUUUACAUGGUGAUCAAAGUGUCGUAAAAUCGACAAUUGUUGACGGUCUAUAUGAGCCUUGUUUGCUUGUUUAACGGUGUAGAACAUCCAAAUUGCUUGAAUUUUUGAUUACAAAAAUUCUUUAUACUAUUUAGAUAAUGUUUGAUAACUCUGAUUAUGAAUUGAGAAAGUCUAACCUCUAUUUUAAGAAGAUUAUUCAUUUAUGACCGUUCAUUUUUCAACUCUUAAGAUGAACUUGAUAAUGAUUUUUAAAUAAUACAAAAUUUGAUUUCUAAACAUUUUUAAUUGUGUAGAUCAACUUCAACGGUGCCGAUUAUCAAUUUGAAGUUCCGAUCAUUCAAAUCGACUUGAUAGGACAAGGGUCCCAAUCCUAUAAAUAGGAUAGUAGCCGGACUCUAUAUAUAUAUAUAUAUAUAGAGUCCGGCUACUAUACUAUUAUGAGUACGAUCGCCCUCGUACUCAUAAGUUGUUUUCGAUGAACGAGCUUCCGAAUCGACAAUCCACACCGUUAAACGUUAUCUAGAGCAUUUGAAACAUCUAGAAAUCAAAUUUCAUAAUUUUUCGACAUCAUUUACCUUACGAUCAAAAGCUCACAAAAUUGACAAUUUUUGUGAGCUGGUUGCAAGUUUAACGGUGUAGAAAUAUCCAAAUCACAUUAAAUUUUGAUAGAAAAUUAUUUAUACCAUAUAAAACAAGAUCAAUAACUUUGAUCUAAAAUUUUAAUGUCAUAUCAUCAUAUUUUGUAAGAUUUUUAUUUUCAGCUGUUGAUUUUGAGCCCCUUCGAUUACUAGGCAAAUGAUAUCGAAAAAUCGCAAAAUUUAUUUUCUAGGUACUUCAAAUACUCUAGAUCAAGUCUAACGGAGCCGAUCGUCGAUUCGAAAGUCCGAACAUCGAAAACGACUUGGAAGCAUGGAGGCCUCCGUGCUUUCAUAAGCAUACCAGCACAACUAUAUAUAUAUAUAUAUAUAUAAAAUUAAGCUCCUAUGCUUUUAAAAAUACUAAGUUAUUGGUGCUUAUAGAAUUUUGGCCGUUAGAUUAAAGGAUGUGUAGUUAGAAUGAUGUGGGCUCCUUAGGGUUGAGUGGGUGGUUGGUUGAAUAAUAUAAUCUAAUGGUUGAAAAUGAUCAAAGGUGUAGAUCUAACGGUAAAAAAUUUACAAGUACCAAAUACUUGGUACUUUUACAAACACCAUAGCCGGACUCUUUCUCUCUCUCUCUCUCUCUCUCUCUCUCUAUAUAUAUAUAUAUAUAUAUGUAUUUGAACUAGUAUACUAUUGAUUGUAAGAAAAUAGUAUUUACUAUUAAUUUUCUAGUCCAUGGAUCAAUUCUAUUCCACCUACCACUUACUAAAGCACAAGAAUUUAAAGGUUUAGAAGUUGAUAGUAAACCAUAAAAUAGGAAUACUUCUAAUAGUAUUCUAUCUUCUGCAACUUUUUAUUCAUUGGCAUUGAAACCAAUAUUUAUAAAGUAGGAAUUAUUGUUGACAAAAUAAGAACAUUGGCUCAUUAGCGUCAGCGCUCACUAAUUUUGAUCAGACUUAAACCUCCAAACUUAGCUCAUUACGGUUGGAUCAUCGUCCAUUAACACGGUAAUGAUAUUUUAUGCGUACUAAGUAAAUGAAAGUAGAUGCUAAUUGGAGAUUUAAUAUUACUAUUGAGAGGACUAGUACCAUUAAUUACUUUAUUUUUUCUAACUUCAGGAGUGUUAAAUAUGUUUAUCAAUUCCUUCAAAAUAUAUAUAUAUAUAUAUAUAUAUAUAUAUAUAUAUAUAUAUAUUAAACUAGCCAAGGAGAACAAUAUCCUUUAUCCGUAAGAUACUUGGUUAGCAAAUGGCUACCAUAUUUCAUAAGAAAUAAUAAUUGGCGUGAAAUAAUUGUUCAUACGAAGGAGAUAUUUUCAGGAACUGUGGUGUUGUAAUUUUUAGUGUUGUUAUUGAACUUUAAAAAUAUACGAAGAUUCAUAUACACAAACACUUUGAAAAUCUCCAAGGCAAGCAGUAAUCUCAAUUAUGGGACGAAUGGAGCUCGAGCUUAUCUUAUCUCACUCGUGUUCCCCUCAUUUGUUUCAUUAAUUCUAUCCCUGUCACUGAGAAUCGCAACGAUCCCUCGGUCAUCAAAAGAAGCUUCAAUAAUGCGGUCUCGCACAGGGGCCGUUUAUAGAAUAAUAGAGAAGUAGUUGCAAAAAGCAAUGCCGAGAAUCAUUCAACUACAAGCCUCUAAACCUUUUGGACACCGAACAGUCGAAUCAACUUGAACACCGAAAUCAGGUAGCAAUGUUCUCUUUUUAAUCUUUAAUUACUUUAAGCUUUGAGUCAAGUUUUAUUUUGGUCCUCAAACUUUUGAUUUUGAUAUUCGAGUUCCUAAACUUUUACUAAUACUUUAAUUUGGUUCCUAUUCUUUGAACAAUGUUUUAUUUUCAGCUCUUAGUUUAAAUUAAAAUUUGUUGUUUGCACCUGAUUCAUCUAUUUGUUUGUACACUAUAAUUUGCUGAUUCUUCAUCAUCUCAUGCCUUAAUUUAAAAAAUAUAAUAUUUAUAUAGAGACAAAGUUAAAACCCAAUGAGUGGUAGAAUUGAAAUAUGCAGUGUGAAACAUAGUCAAUAAAUAGUCAAUAGAUGAUGCAUGGCACAUAAAUGUACAAAAUAUAUGGGAUGUAGAUAGUAAUUUAUCUUCCAGUAGUAAAUAUAUAAAAGGACCAAAUUGAAACUUUUUGAAGAGUUUUGGUACCAUUAACUAUCGAAAAUUGAAAGUUCAAUAACCAGAAUAAAACUCGUGCAAAGUAGGAGACCAGCGGUGCAAUUUACCUUGUAAAGGGUUGAUAAGGGUUAAUGUUAUCCAAAUAUCCUCACUCAUUAUCGAGUUACUUUCAAUGUCAUACUUUUUUCUUUCUAGAUUAUACUGCAUUGGAUAUUACACAUGGAAUUAUCCGCCUACUUUCGUCGCAAGAUCUUUGCAGACUAAAGAAUAAAGAGCCACCCUCUAGGUGGUAGCACGACAGAAGAGAAUAUUACGUGUGGAGUACAAGUUCCACUACUUGGGAAUAUAUUCACCUCUAAAGGCUGUGGAGCUUAUCCAAUAAUCCUAAACUACUGGAGCUCACCCUCCAUAACUUUAGAUCCACAAUUGAAAUCCGUGUGUUUUUACAAUGAGUACUGCCGCAUCAUGUUUAAUGUCUUCUGACAGCUGCUGUUAUGCUAGCAUCAUAGUGAUCGGAAUGCAAGCGUUUGAUCUCUCAAAUCUCAGCCAUUUAUCAAACUUAGAUCGAGCUGUGUAUAGCCGUUCUCGGUGAAAUGGCCUAUGGGUGCUGCACGCUGCAGAAGCAUGAACCUGAGAAUGCUUCUGCCGGUGGGGCAGCGAGGUGGUUUUUGUGACAAUCGGGGUGAUCGCAAUGGGCUGACGAUGGAUGAUACUGUGGAUGAUGACUUGAAUUACUCUACGGCUACUCCUACAUCUACAUUACGCUUACUCCUAAUGCGGGUAGAAAAAGCAACGGUAGAAUUGGAUGAUAGCUUGUUAUCCCUCCUUUCCGUAGCUUUUCUCUCUUAUAUAAGCUUAACCUCCAAUAUGGCGUAGCUAUAAACAGUGUAAUUUUUGUGAGUUAAUUAUACUUUAUUUUCGAAACAAUUUGUGACACCCCAAUGGUUCCACAUCAGAUAGUUAUGACUAGAUGUAGGGGUAUAUAAGCUUGACCAGGCUAGAUAUAAUAACUGAAUUUAAGCAUUUUGGACUGGUGGUUUGAGCUCAACGAGUUAUUAUUGCUAGCAGGUCGGGUCGUUACAUUUGGUAUCAGAACCAGUUCACCGGCCGGAAAUGUGAGAUGAGUCUUGGCUAAGGCAGGGUCGGAAUGACAGACUAAGCCAGAGUUGGUGAUUGACGGGCUAAAUCAGAAUCGAAAUGACAAAGGCUAACGAGACAAGUUUCACAUCACCUGAUAAUCUUGGGCUGUGUGUGUUUAGGGCUGACGAGAACGUCAAAACCUAAACAGAGAGAGUCUGUGACACUCCAAUAGUCUCAUAUCGGAUAGUUAUGGCUAGAUGUGGGGGUAUAUAAACUUGAUUAGGUUAGAUAAAAUAACUGGGCUUAAGCAUUGUGGGCUUGUGGUUUAGGCCCAACGAGUUAUUAUUGCUAACAGGUUGGAUCGUUACACAAUCCCCUAAUUAUGCCUAUAUUCUCAAAUGAAACUUAAAUUUCAAGUGCAUCUAAGUUGCCUUUUAGGGCCUUUCAAGUGCAUCUAAGUUGCCUUUUAGGGCCUUGUCGAAGUCUUAAGCCUUCGGCGCACUUCAUCUUACCAAAACUGAAUUCUUUUACUUAAGGUCUUUCUUUCUGCGAUCCUUACUUAUCCCAUUCUGAUUUGUUUGUCUUCCGGUGUCAGAAAUAGGUGUCAAUAAUAGAAGUACACAAAGUAUUACUCUUUUUUAACAGAUAAAAGUACUUUCGGCUAUCAAAAGAACGGGGAUAAUACUUUCCACUUUUCCUGCUAUUUUUAGGCUCCACUAUUGUCUGGAAAUAAAAGCAACAUUGAAUUAUCUGAAACUUUGCUUGAAAGGAAGAAUCCCACAUUUGAAAUUUAAGGAAUUAAUAUUACGGUUAGAUUUAAAUAGUGUUUUAGUUGUUUGUGGCCUGGGAAACAAAUUGGAUUGGUAGGAUUUGACCGAUGGUUAUCUAACAAAGAUACCGACCGUCCUUAGCGCAAGUGGCAAAAGAGCUUGGUGGUUGAUAUCCGAGACCCAAGUUCGAAUCCUAGUUGAUUCACAUUUCUAGCUAAGUUUAUUUCUAAAUGAAAUAACGAAGCGGGUAGCAGGUUACCUUUCUCUCCAAAAAAAAAAAAAAAAAAAAAAACAAAGAUAGCAGCAUAAUUUCAGUUCGCGUACUUUUGCCUUUUCUUAGAAUGGAUAUGUGAACCGAAUCUUGAACAUUUACUCUCAUCUCGGAGUUUUUGGAUGGCAUAAAAUUUUGGACACAAAAUUCAACAAGAAUAUAUAAAGAAAAGGACCAAUCACACUCAUGCAUAGAUAUUCUCAUGGAGUCAGUUCCAAUGAAUAUUACAUCAGCUAAUUCUUGGGCCCCUUCAUCUGCAAGUACUCAGAAUUCGAAGUACCUAACACUGCUCAAAUUUUAAAAAGGUUGGAUCAAAAUGUUAAGCUAAUUUAACUUAGCAACUAUACAUGCUAAGUUAGAAUACUCUAGGAAUAUGGUAGGCCUUCUCAUCCAAAGGAGUUCCAAAUUCAGAGUAUCUAGUAAUACUCUUCAAUGCAAUCGUUCGUCUAGUUGUUCAGCUAUGUUCAUCUGGUUCGGUUAAUUUUUCACUGUAUCAAAUUAAAGUUCAGCUCUUGCUUCAACCAAUCCGACUUCAAACCAGUUCAGCUGGUCUUUUUUUGCAAAUUCUCAAUCCUAUCUUCCAACUGAUACAAACCUAGACAUGAAAUUCUUUCGCUCUCGUCCUUUUCUACCACUUUUGCGUCAUACACUACAAUCAAACCAAACAGAUGGAACCAUCAUCACUUUUUUAUCACACUGACUAGGAUAAGAAUCAUAAUAUACCAUCACAUAGUUUUAAAGGGUUUGUUCCACGUAGUACCCCAAAUUAUAAAAUCUACUUAUCCCAAGCGUUAAGUACAAGUUCCAUUUUUUUAUUGAACAUCCGUAUCCAACUUCAUAUAACAAUCAUUAAACUUGGUCUAGUAAAGGAGUGGUCGACCAUCCAGUUGAUCUGCUCUCCUAGUCUAUACUCUAUUGUAUCAUUCUUUUAAUAAAUGGUAAGAUUAGAAGUUAAGUUAAAAUUGAAUGAAGGAUAAUUAAUAUGUGGUCCAAGAACUACAUGGUGGAUUAGGUCGAGCUAAUAAUCUCACCUCCAUCCGGCCAAUAGCACUUAGUACUAGUAAGCCUCACUUUUUUUGCCACCCCAAACCGUCUAUAAAUAACUUGCCACUACCAUAUGCUCCCUGCCACAAACUCGAGCAUUAAAAAGUGAUUGUGACUAGUACUCGUUCGAUCAACUUUUUAGUAACUACUAUUGACCUGUGCCAUUCCAUGUUAAACAGCCGUGCGAUCCACAUUGGAAGCCGGUCAAUGACCGAGGAGCAGUUCCGGGAAUGGCUCCGGCACAUCGACCAGAACAAGGAUGGCCGAAUAAGCAAGGAGGAGCUGAACGCAGCAUUGAAAACCCUUGGGCUCAGAUGCAAACGGUUGAGGGCAUGGUGGGUGAUGAAGAAGAACGACACGGACAAAAGCGGCUACAUCGACACCGAGUCGGAGAUUCGGGCCCUGAUGGAGCAUGCUAGGAAGCACUGGGGCAUUGAUAUCAGGUCAAAGUAGUCAAGUAGGAGUUGCUACAAGUAGCUACCUUGUUUUCUGAAGUAGGACAGAAAAUUUCGAAGUAAGUUUGUAGUAUGGAUUUUCUAUUUUCUUAUAUAUACAUAUAUAAGGAAUAAAUAAACAAAAGCUCCUAUAUAGGAAUAAUACAUAUAUAUAGGUGUGUGUGUGUAUUAUAUAAGUAUGUUAGUUGUAUGGUCUUUCUCCUUUGUUUUGUACACAGAAAGAAAAAGUUAGCUCAUAUAUAUAUAUAUUUGUAAAAGUAUAUAUAGAAAGUUAGUUUGUUGAAUGGUUUUUCUCCUUUCUUUUGUAUACUGAAAGAAAAGGCUAGUUAAUAUAUGUAGAAGUAUGUACAUAGAAGUUUGUUUGUUUUUCUCCUUUUUCUUUAUAUACUGAAAGAAAAAGUUAAAUUAUGUAUGUAGAAGUUUGUAUUAUGGUUUUUCUCCUUUUGUGUGUUAUGUAAGGAAAUAAAAGACUUUUCCAACAGACGUGUACUUUUAAGCUUUUUUUUUUUGCAAUUUUUAUUUUUUUAAAUGGUAGCAUAGAGUAUUUUGAGUAGUGAAACAACCUCUUAAACAAAGAAUAUAAUAAACAUGCAUAAUUAAGAGUUGUUGGUGUAUAAGCAUGCAUGAUUGAAAGUUUUCUAUUGGUUUAUGCACACAAUUAAAGAUAUCACGUAAGUUUGCUAACACAUCUACUGCUCAUAUAGUGCCCUUUGUGGAGAUUCUAAACUUAGAGGACGACCAAUAAAUACUUAUCCUGAAGUGGAGAAACAAACAGUUUUUAUAGAGAUAUUGAACCAAUUUUUGUAUUUUUUAUAUCAUCAUUAGGCCUUACACGUGAAAAAGGAGAAAGUCUUCUCUGUAAGAGAUGUUUUAUUUAGAAAUAAUAGUAUCCAAUAAAAUUAUUUUCUUUAUAAAGUAAUACCUCAUAAAAAUUGUGUUAGAACAUGUUGCAAAUUGGCUUAUGAUAGUAGUGGCCCUAUGAUCAUGCAAGUAGUGUUAGUAAUAGGUUAACUUAGAUAGAAGUAGACUAUUUUGUGUAAAUAGUGGAGUAGUAGAAGCAGUGGGUUUCAAUUGUGGAGUUCAUAGUAAUAAUUUUUUUAAGAACACAUGUAGUGAAUACAGUGCAGAACAUGCAGUAAGUUGGGUUGUCUUGGUCCUCAAUCUUUCUUUUUCUAUUUGAAGUCAUGUUUGUAACCUUAUAAUUCCUGAAGUUGAAUUAAAAAUAUUUGCUUCUUCCACUAUAUUGAUGUAGUAAAGUUUGUUGGUGAGCAUUAAUCUCUUUUUAGAAAAUUUCUUCUAACUACAAUUUUUGGUAUUAGAGCUCUGUUACGAUGAAAGUUGGAAGUUAUGGUAUUUACGAAGAGAGGCACAUCCUAAUAAAUAACUUGUAACAAUUUAACUCGCUAACAAUAAUAACUCAUUGGGUUUAUUAAGGUUUAUGAUAUCUUAUAUACCCAAUUACAAUUUUGUUUUCAUUCGAUAUAGGAUUAUUAGGGUGUUACAGACUUUUCCAUUUAGAUCUUGACGUCCUUAUUAGCCUAAUCAAGAGCUCAAAAUCACUAGGCGAUAUGAAGCCCACUCACACUUCCGGUUGGUGAACCGGCUCUGAUACCAAAUAUAACGAGUUGACCCGUUAACAAUAAUAACUCGUUGGGUCCAAACUACCAACAUUUUAUUGAGGUCACACAUUACUAAUGCGAACAAAGUAGUGGGUGAACCAAAGAUACUAAACAUAUCGGACUCGGAAGGUAAAACACAAAUAUUCAACCAGAGUCUCAAAUUGCAAGUUAAUUGAGCUGAACCGAACCUAAUAUAGGAUUUAAUGGAGGAGCAUUUAACAACUUCAUUACCAAAGGACAAAAUUUAAAACCUGUUAACUGUUUUCUUAUCUGCACACUGAAAUAGGAUGAGCCACUCACAGAUAUACAAAACAUAGUUACAAAACCUGAUCUAAUUACAAAACCUGAUCUGAUCCAACCAAAUCCAAUCUAAUUAAAUCAGUAAAGGCACACUAUCAAUACCGACUGAGCGGAAUCUAAUUUCUUUUCUUUUUUUUUUAACUUAAUUUGCCUAAUCUGUUCUGAAGAUGGUAAGGGACCACUGCCUAACUGUGAUCAAGAAAAAGAAAGCUAGAGCACUAGAAGAUCAAAUUAAUAGAGUAAGAAGAUCGUGAUGAGUUUACCUGAUUGCGAAUGUCGGAUUGCACCGCACAAUCGAUAUCGGAAUCGAUGACUCGUUUGAGGUGGUCGUCGGCGGAGACCAUCUCCACAGCGUCAAGCUUCGUGAAUUUUCCUAUCAAAUCCCACAAAAACACUACGGUUUGGACCAUUUCCAGAUCAAAUUCUCAAAGAUAAACCGAUUUUCAGGUACUCACAACAGGAAUCCACACAAUGACGAGGAAACCGAGCCCUCCGAAGCGCUUCUAUCGAUCGGAGCAUAUACAGAAGCGCCCGAUCUCCCGAUCGAGCGCUCGAACUACUCCGAUUCGCGAAAUCGAAGCCCUAAAUCGCGCGGAAGCGAAUCCGACCAUCCCCGAUCGCUCGGAGAGAGCUCACCUCCGCCCCGCCGCUGCGGAAUCGGAUCCUCCAAUCCAAGCACGACACAACCGAUCUCUCUGUACGUUGCUUCUUUCAUGGAGAGAGAAAGAGGAACGAGGCGUGGGUGAGGGAAGGUUUCGGAGGAUGCGGGUGCGGGAGCGGGAGGGGAUUUUUUAUUUAUUUUUUUUUUGGACUGUUCAUUUUUUAAAAUUUUUAAAACUAUAUAUUAUUUUGGAGUUUUUUUUUAUAAUUCUUUAUUAUUUUUUUUUUGGGGGCAUCGUUUGAUUGAAUAUAAUUAAAAAUAUAAUAUUAUUAAAUAUAUAUAUAGCUGAAAAUACAACAUCUUAUUAAGUUAUUAGUGAAAUACCCGCGCGAUGCUGCGGAUCUAAAAAUAUUUUAACAAUAAAUUUUAUUUUUUUAAUAUUUUUAUAUAGUUUUAUAAGUCUAAUUAUUAAUUAAAUAAAAAUUAUAUAAAAAUAAUUUAAUAGUUAAAUCUUAAAAUUGAUAUAUGCCCAAAUAAAUUUAUACAUCACUUUAUUUUAUAAAGAUUUAUAUGAGAAAGAUUUGAGAUAAAUCUAUCAAAAUAAUUUUUAAAAAAUCAAUAGAUAGAAGGGAAGUAAAUUUGUAGAAUAAAUUGCUUAAUAAAAUUAAUUAUAUAUAUAUAUAUAUACAUAUACACUAUAUUUUUAAAAUUUUUCACUUAAAAUUUAAAUUAUGUAUUUUUUUAUACAACGAUAUUUUAAGUGAUUUAAAUUAAAUCUAUCAUGUUAAAUUUUAUUAUACGAUUUAUUAUGCAUAUUAUUAAUAAAAUUAAUUAAUUUCAUAGAGUUUAGAGAUUUAAAAUUUUUAGUUUUGAAGAAAUUUAAAUUAUGUAUUUUUUUAUACAACGAUAUUUUACAUGAUUUAAAUUAAAUCUAAUAUGUUAAAUUUUAUUAUCCGAUUUAUUACCCGUAUUAUUAAUAAAAUUAAUUUUAUAAUUUUAUAGAGUUUAGAGAUUUAAAAUUUUAAAUUUUGAAGUUACAAAAUUGGAAAUAAAUAUUAUAAGUUAAAAUUGAAAUUUAGAAUUUAAAAUAUAAAAUUUAAAAUUUAAAAUUUAAAACUUUAAAACUUUAAAAUUUGAAAGUAUGAAAAUUUAAAAUUUUGAUAUAAAAAUUAAAAAUUAUAUAUAUAUAUAUAGAGAGAGAGAGAGAGAGAGAGAGAGAGAAAGUGUAAAGGAGGGUUUGGGGGGUGACACGUGUCACCCUAUGGACCCCCCAAAUCCUUUUUUAAUGUAGAAGAAAGAAUAGAUAGAUAUGUACACUACAACAGAAUUAGAUUAUAUGGACACAUGUUUGGGACACUUUUGAGUAAGUGUCUCAUUUAUGCUAAAACUUAAAAACACAUCUACUAAUGCCUAAAUAUAAAGCCCAAUCCAACCAAAAAUAAAAGAUUACUCUACUCAACCCACCACACCCAGUCCAUUUGGCCCGAUUACAAACAGAAAAGAAAAAAAAAAAAAAAAAAAAUUACCAUCUUUUCUUCUCUCUUCACUCAAUCCACUGAAAUUCUAGACGAAGAGCCUUUUCCUCUCGUCCUCCUCCGCCACCGCAGCCAACGAGAUAGAGUUUCGGUGGUUGCUAAAUGCUUAAAUAAGUGUUGGUAAAUUAGCAGCACUCUUUUAGGUUAUAGCGACACUCUUUAACUGUCACUAUAUACCUAGCGACCCCACAUAUAGCAACACUUUUUAAAAGUGUCGGUAAUUUUAGCUAGCAGCACUUUUUUGACAUGUACCUACAUUUAAAACUGUUGCUAUAGACUGUUUUUGUUGUAGUGGUAAUAGAAAAAUUAUAAAUAUAAAUAAUUUAUUUAUUUGCAUAAUGUUAAAAAAUUAAAAAAAAAAAACUUUAUCACUUUUAUCUAUAAUGAUAAGAUGACCUCCAAUAUAGAAAUAAAAAAUAUUUUUUAUUUAAAAAAUGAUUAAGAAAGAUUUAUUUUUUUUUUGUUUAAAAUUACUUUUUCAAAUGUUGCAGUCGAAACUACACCAAUUUAAGUGUACUUUUCAUGUUGUUCUAACAGCAAUAUUUAAAUUCAAAUGUACCAACUAAACAUCGAAUUUAAAUUCAUACAUAAUUACAAUUAUAGUGCGGCUAUAACAAUAUACAAUCAAACAAUCCGGAACUUGAGCUUUUAUCUCUCUCUAAUCUUCGGCUCAUUUGUACCUCUAGUUCAACCCCGGUCAAUAAGAAUCACAACGGAGAGCAUUUCAGCGGCAUCAAAAAUUGUUGACAUCACUAACAAAAUAACAGGUAGCAGUUUUUUUUUUUUUUGGCGGUGCAAGAUUGCUUGGUUUUCUUAGAGGGCAUUUGGUUUGGAAACAAGGAUAAAAUAAGUCAAUUUUUUUUUUUUCUCAAACGGUAUUUUUGGUAGUCAAGAACAGUAAUUUUUGAAUUUUAAAAAUAAGCUAGUAUAAUUUGGUAUAAGUCUGAAACUAUUGUUUCACAAUUUAUUCUGAAUAAUGUUAAUUAAAGUCUAAAUUUAAUUUUAAUUAUGGUAUUAAAUCUUAAAUUUGUUGGAGACAAGUAACAUAUAAAAUUUAAAUUUACACUGAAAUAGAAAUCCUAAUAUCACUAUAGCCUUAUAAGUACAUAUAAGUGCCUUGGUGAGAUGUAUGAGCAGGUGCAAAUGAUUUGAUGUGGUAGGUAGGAGUAGGACACGGAAGAGAGAAGCUAACAUUCUGAGAGUUAUAAGACAAGAGAGAGAGAGAGAGAGAGAGAGAGAGAGAAAUAUUCAGAAAGAGGGCUUGCAUUAAAUCUACUAUGUAUAAAAAAGAAAAAGAGUCUAAUUCGCUUUUUUAUUAGUAAAUUUUAUUUUUUUUAUAUUUUUGUACAGGUUUUUUUUUUUUUAUGAUUGUACUAGUUUUUUUUAUUCAGUAGACAAAUUUAUAAUAAAAAAUUCUGAUUAAAUAUUUUUAUUGUGAAAUUUUAACUAUUCGCAUCCAAGUGGCUUACUGAAUUUACGACAAUCGGUAUCAAAACAGUUACGGACUCAACAUGAAUUAGUACGUGCUAAGAGAGUAUUUAGUAGGAAACAUAAGGGCUAAUAAAGGUUAGUGUUAUUCAAUUAUCCCUAAUCAUUAUUUACUUCGAAUCCCUUAUCUUUUUUGAACUACUUUCUCUUUCUACAUUAUGCUGUCUCCAUUCCUUUUCCAGAUUAAUAAAUAAUAAAGAGCUAGCCCCAAGUGUUGGGCUGUUAGCACAACAGAAUAUACUAAUACUAAUUGUGAAGUACAAGUUUCACUACUUGGAACAUAUUCACCUCUAAGGGCUAUGGAGCUCAUCCAAAUAGUUAUAAAUUUUUGGGACUCACCCUCUAUAACUUUAGAUUCGCAAUAGUAAGAUUUGUUUGCUUUCCCCCUUUUUUUUUAAUAAAGAUAAUUUUAUUCACCGGAACGCGAUCAGACGCUGACAAAAAAAAUCAUACACUUUUUAUCCAAAACUAAAAGCACCUAGCCAAUUCAAUCUUCAGGGCCUGAUCCAAUUCAUUCAUAUGCUUUUUGUAUUCAUUAAUUCUUCCAAAAAUUAUCUGCCUCUUAGCAUAUUGAUUUGUAACCGUCUUUCGAAAAUCAUUGCUAUGCUAGCAUGAAAAUUGGUUUGAAGUACAGUAUAGACCAACGUACAAAUAAAUGUAAAAGAAUGGAAGGUAUUACUGCUUUCUAAUAGAGAAAAGUAAGUAGUAAUUUUCUACAAAAGGAAUGGGAAUAACAUUUUCCACUUUUCCCUUGUUUUCCUGUUAUUUUUAGCCUUCACUAUUAUCUGUAAAUAAAGCUUAAUUUCCACGAAAAGAAACCCACAUUUGGAGCUUUAAAGGAAUUAAUAUUACAGUUAGAUUUAAACAGAGUUUUAGGGGCUGUUUGGUUGCAUGCAUUUCUAACUGCAUUGCAGUUGAAAAUGCAUGCAUCUAUUAAAUUUUUGUUUGAUUCGGUGUAGUUAGACUCAACUGCUGCAAUUGCAUCUAUACGAGAAGGCCCAACGCUGCAGUACCAACUGCAGCAGUUGGGCCAGAGUCAGCUCACGCGUUAAAAAAAAAAACAAAGUGUGAUUUUUUUUUCAUACGUUUCUUUUUUUUUUUAUUUUUUUCCUAAAUACCUACUAAUGAAAUCUGAUAGGUUUAAUAAUUUUUUUCAUAUUCUUCUUUUUUUUUCAGUAUGCUAGUUUAAUAAUAUCUUAAUUUUUAUUUUUGACCAAAUCUAUAAUAUAUUUGCAUUUAAAAUUUAUUAAAUUCAUACAUAAUUUUAUAAUAUAUAAAUUAUAUAUAGAUAUAAAAGUCUUAAUUAAUAAUUAAAACAUAAUUACGUUAUGCAAGAGAUAUUUUCAUAUUUCUAUCUAAAAAUUGACAUAACUUAUAAAUACAAAUCUCAACUGCAGACUACCAAACAGAAAAAAUAUAACUGCAGCAGUUGCAACUGUAUAAAACUAAACAGACUAGAUACAUUUAUAACUGCAAUAUUUACAACUACACGUACUUUUAACUACACUGUUAUUAUAACUAUAUCAAAUCAAACGGCCCCUUAGUUGUUUAUAGCCAGGGAAACAAAUUGGACGGGUAGGAUUUGACCGAUGCUUAUCCAAUAAAAGAAGCAGCAUCAUUUUAAGUUUACUAUAUUGCUGUUUUUUUUUUUUUCCCCGAAAUUGAUAUGUGAAUCUUAAACAAUUAAUCUCAUCUAAGAGUUUUUGGAUCCCGUAAAUUUUGGGCAGCGACAAGAAUGAAUUGAUGGAUGAUUGAACUAUAAAGAUAUAUACAAAAAUUGUUUCCAUGAACUUUCAAGUACAUUGAAGAAAUACAGAGACCAAUCACACUCAUACAUAGAUAAGAUCCGUAUGUCAUGAUGGCUACACUACCGUUCUCAUCAGACUCAAUUUUAGCUAAUAUUAUAUGAAUGAAAGCAGGUAGGCGUGCCAUUUUUCUCUAACAAAAAAUUUACAUGAACUAAUUUGUAGGCACUUCCAUCUACUCCAAAUUCGAAGCAUCUAACACUACUCAAAUUUUCAAGAUGUUUGAUCAAAAUGUUAAGCUAAUUUAACUUGUCAACAAGAGCUAGGUUGGAAUUAAUGCGCCAGGAAUAAGGUUGGCUGCGUUAUUCAAUAGUACUCUAAAUUCAGAACUAAUAAUUACUAUAAGAAUAUUAACAUUUAAGAACAUCUGUUUUCGGUACUUAAUAAUACUUAAAAACAUCUCAAUAUAAUUUACCGUCAUAUUUGAAUUUGAAAAUAUCGAGAGUCGUCUCUUAUGUACCGACGCUUAUGUCAAGCGUUAGUAGAAUAUAUUCUAAUACUUUAAAAUGUCAGAAAAAUUGAAAAUAAUAGUGGAGUUUAUUCUUCAAUAAAUUGGUUUGAUAUAAUAAACGGUUCAUAUGAGGACAUUUUCUGAAAUGUCGAUAUUUGUUGUAUUAUAAGAAUGCAUGGGGACGGUUCAUCUAAGUAUCAUUUAAAAAUCAAAAUGAACUCAUUCAUCAGGCUGUUUCCGUAAAUUUUUUUACUGAAUCAAAUUAAAGUGUUAUUAUCCCAACCAAUUAAUCCAAUCCAACCAGGCUGGCUCAACCAACUUUGGCUGAAGUUCUCAAUUCUAUCUUCCAAUUUACACCAACUUUGUGACGAAAUUGUUUCUGUCUCAUACUUUUCGAUCACUUUUGCGUCGUAUACUAUGCAAUCUAGUGGAACCAUAACCACCUUUUUUUUUUUUUUUUUUGUCACUCCCACUGGAGAUAAGGCUCGAGGUAACGUAACGAACAAUGUCCAGGAAUAAUAAAGCAACCAUAAUAUACCGUCACAUAAUAUUAACGUGAUUUGCUCCACGUGGCAUCCAAAAUUAUAAAAACUAUUAAUCGACAGUUUUUUUCAGGUACAGAUUCCAUAUCAGAACAUCCGUACCAAUCACUGUCUAAACUUGGUCUAUUAAAUGAGUGGUAGACCGUGUUGUUGAUUUGUACUUUUAUUAUUGAAUUAAAAUUAAUGUUUUAAAAAUCGAAUCAAAUAUCUGUUCAAAACUAUUACUGAUCAAGAAUCACUGGUUCAACCAAUGAAUUAAGCACUAAUUAAAUUGGUGACAUCAGUAUAACUUACCAGAUAUUUAAUUAUUAUUUUUAAUUCAAUUACAUAAAAUAUUAUUCAUUUAUUAUUAUUCUAAUAUUUUAUUUAAUUAUAAAAUGUUGUUUGCUACAGUACAUUAAGUAGAUAGAAAUUUUUUAGUUUCACUUUCAUAAGAUUAAUCCAAGUUAAUUGAAAUUAAAAUCAGUUAAGUUGAUUGUAAGGCUUUGAAUUUUAAUAUGACUUGAAAAAAAAAAAUCCGGCUGGUUUCAUUAUAGCCGGACCACUGUUCAGUUCGAAUGAUUCAAAAUGAUUCUUUAAAUUAUCCGAUUCAAAAGGCUGAAGCGAACCGUAUUAUAACUCGGUCAUAGUCGGACCUGUCGACCAGGCUGAUUCAACUCGAUUAUUGAUUAAGACUGAACGAACAAUAAUUGGUAGUGGUGGAAGAACUAAAUGGUGGGUUAGGUCUAGACAAUAAUAUCUCUCCAUCCAACAAGGCUAUUUUGUAACAGUAAGGCUUCCUUUGGGAUUACAGGAAGAUUGCGUUAUGUGCGGUGAUCAAGAAAAUACGUUGGAAAAAUACUCUGUUUAUUUCUGUACGUAAUAUUGUGUUUUGCAUAUGGCGAUGAGUCAGUUACGAUAUAUUUUCUGCGGUCUCACCAGAGAACGCAGAAGCAUAUCUCUAUAUGCUUUUUCCUCAACUCCAUUUUAUCUAAUAGCGUUAGAUUGAGCUCAAAGACACUUUUCGGCCACCAUAUGCACCGUAGCCCCUUCAUAAAUAGCUCUCCGGCACAAACUCAAGCAUUGAGCGGUCGUGGUCAGUACUACUCUUUCGAUCAACUUUUAGUAAUUAUUAAACCGUGCCAUGAGUGCUGAUACUGCCCGAACGGUCUACUUCGGCAAGUGGCCGAUCACGGAGGAAGAGUUCCGGGAAUGGCUCCGGCAACUCGACCGGAACAAGGACGGCCGCAUAAGCAAGGAGGAGUUGGCGGCGGGUUUGCAAACUCUCGGGCUCAGGUGCAAACGGUGGAGGGCGUGGUGGGCGAUGAAGAAGAACGACGCGGACAACAGCGGCUACAUCGACACCGAGUCGGAGAUUCAGAAGCUGGUGGAGCAUGCGAGGAAGCACUGGGGAAUUGAUAUCAGGUCAAAGUAGGAGUUACUACAAGCACGUAAAGUUGGAUGGAAGAUGUAGUAGAAGUUAAUUACUUUGCCAUAUGCUAUGCUGGUUUUUCAUCGUUUCUUGUUUUACAUGCAUGUUGAAGUUAAAAAAAAGAAAAGAAAAAAAAGUUUGUUAGUAGUAUGCUUUUUUCUCUGUGGUGCCCUCCAUGUAAUGAAAACACUUGUUUAAUGGAGAUGGGUACUUUUAACUUUUAAGUGAGCACUUAUUAUUAUUAUUAUUAUUAUUAUUAUUAUUAUUACUAUUAUUUUGACUAUUUUGAGUGGUACUGAAACAACCUCUUAAAAAAAGCAGAUGAUAAGCAUGUGUGUCACUUUUGACGAACUGCAUGUCUCCAUCCAUGAACCACUCAAAACCGUACGUUCGUUUUAUGUUUCGUUAUACGUCAACUAUCUGAAAGAGCAGCUUGUGUGUAGCAAUACACCCUUGCUUUGGGGCUAAGGGUGUGUUUGGUUCCACCUAAAAUUAAGGAAAAAAAAUUUUCGGUGGAAAAAAAAUUUUCGGUGAAAAAAAUUUUUACGUCGUUUGUGUUUAGUUUGUGGGAAAAAAAAUAUAGUUUUUCAUUACAGUUGUUUGAUUAAAAGAAAAAGAAAAGUAGAUAAAAAACUAUUUAAUAUAUUUUUUAUUAUAUAUAUUAUUAAUAUAUUAUAAUUAUUAUAUAUAUUUUCUCUAAUUAUAUAUAUAUUAUAUAUUAUUAAUAUAUAAUAAUUAUCAUAAUAUAUUUAAUUAUUAUAAUUUAUAUUUAUAAAUAAAAUAUAUUAUAUAAUAAAUAUGUAAUAUAAUAUAUAAUAAUAUAUAUUUAAUACUAUAAAAUAAAUUUUAUGUAUUUAUCAAAUGAUAUAGAUAUAUAUAAUAUUACACAAUAAUUAUAUUUAAAUAUAAAUAUAUAUAUAUAUAUAUAUAUAUAUAUAUGAUAUAUACUAUAAUAUAUAUAUAUAUAUAUAUAUAUAUAUAUAUAUAUUAAAUAUUAUAUAUAAUAUAUUAUUGAGCUCCAUAUUGCUUUUUAAAAGUACCAAGUCAUGGUGCUGUAAGUUUUCGGCCCUUGGUUAAAGGAUGUACGGCUUAGGAUCAUGUGCGGGCCCUAGGUUGAGUGGGUGCGUUGGAUUGAAAUAGUUUAAUUUAACGGGGUUAAAAAUGACAAAAUGCAGAGACUUUAACGGUAAAAAAUUUACAAGCCACCAAAAUGCUUGCGUAUUUUUUACAAGUAUCAUAGCCGACUCUUAAUAUAUAUUUUUAUAAUAUAUAUAUAUUAUAUAUAUAUUGUAUAUAUUAUAUAUUAUAACUAUGAUCGUAUAUAUAAAAUAUAAUUGUGAUCUAUAUAAUAUUUUUAUUAUAAGUUUCUAUAUAUAGAUUAAAUAUAUAUUUAAAUAUUAAUAAAUAAUAUUAAUAAUAUAUAGAGUAUGAAUUAGACAAUAAUUAAUAAAAUAAUUUAUAAAUUUAUAAAUAAAUAUUAUAUAAUAAUAUCUUUAUAUAAAAAAAUUACUUAUAUAAUAAAUAAAUAUAUAUUUAUAUAAUAAAAAUUAUAUACUAUAUAUAUAUAUAUAAAACCAGAGGGAGGUCCACCGUGGACCUCCCUCUCUGCGGUCCACGAGGCCAAUGGACUGUGCGUGCGCCCGCUGCCCCCUUUCAUGCCGAACGCUGUGAUUCUUCCCUUGUUUUCGUUUUACAUAUUCUCAGAAAAACGAGUAUUUUUCUGAGAAUAUAUAAAAGCGCUUUUCCGAAAUUUUUUUUUACGAGCAAACAAACGUUGGAUUUUUAUUUUUCUGCUGAAAUUUUUUUUUCAGGCCCAUUUUACAGGGAACCAAACACCGCCUAAAUGAUUCUUCAUGAAGAUCUGUAGAUACAUAAGAACUUAAUGCCUUUUUGUUUGAUGCAAAUUACAUACUCUAAUAAGAGUACUAUUGUGUCAGCAUGCAUGCACGAAGUAAAGGUUUUGUUAGUUAGAUUAUUAUCUUUUUUUUUGGAGAAAAAUGUAGCACAAUCUAUUUUAUUCAAUAGAUAUAUAACUAAUUAAGGGGAUGUUUGGCCUAACUUCUCAAAAGUGAUUCUGAGUCUAAAAUCACUUUUGAGCUCAGUAGAGCAUUUGGGAAUGACAGAUAGAAAUUUUGAUUUUAUUUUUCAGAAUUAGAAAACUAAUUUUGAAAGAUCCAAAAUCAGAAACAGAAAAAGGCUGUUUUUCCAAAACUAAUUCUGAUUUUGGAUUCAAAUUUUAAAUUUUUAUUUGUAUUUUAGAUUCAAAGUAAAAAUUUAACAUUAAAUUUAAAUUUUAGAAUUUUAAAUUCAUAUUUGAAUUUUUAAAUCUCAACUUUUCAAAUUUAAAAUUAAAAAUUUAGAUUUAAAUUUUAAAUUUAAGUUUCAAAUCUCAAAUUUUAAAUUUUAAAAUUCAAACUUUAAAUUUAGAUUUUAAAUUUGAAAUUCAAAAUUUAAAUUCAUAUUGAAAAGUUAAAUUUAGAUUUAAAAAUUCAAAUUUUAAAUAUAAAAUUUUGAAAUUUCAAAUUUAUUUUUUGUAGAAAUUUGAAAUUUAAAAAUUAUACUUUUAAUUCAAAUUUAAAUUUUUAAUUUAAAUUUUUAUUUUAAAUUAUUUUAAAAUAAAAUUUAGUAAAAAUAUUAAUAUAUACAGGCAUCAAAAUUUUUUUGCCAAUCAGCUUUCGAAAAUCACUUUAGAAAAAUCACUUUUAUCUAAACUCAGCCAAACGCUCUAUAGCUUUACACAAAAAUCAAUUCUCCAAAUCAAAGUUACUUCUGCACAGAUCAUUUUUCUAGAAUCUAGGCCAAACAUGCCCAAAACUUGGCUACAUAGUUGAGAUAAUGAGGUCUCAAAAAAACAAGAAAAAAAAAAGUUAUUGAUUACAUAGCCACCUUUGCCUAUGCUAUUCAACCCACAACCUCACUAAGCUGCGAACAUAAGAUAGCAUCUGUUGGGACUUCUUACAUCUCUAAAACUACCUAAUUUUGAUUUAUUUCUCGUUGUGACUUUCUUACGGACGCCUCACCGACCGUCCCUAAUGCAAGUGGUAAAAGAACUUGGUGAUUGAUAUCCGAGCCCCAAUUUCGAAUCCUAGUUGAUUCACAUUUUUAGUUAAAUUUAUUUUUAAAUAAAAUAAACGAAGCGGAUAGCAUACUACCUUUUUCUCUCUCUCAAAAAAAAAAAAGAAGACUUUCUUACGGACGAUGGAUUAAGAGAUGGGCUCACUACGAGGAUCUAGAAACUGAAAUCCCGACCACAGUGAAGAUUUCCAUGUUAUUGGUGUUAAGGAGAAUGGUUCGAACAACCGAUAACCUGGAAAACGGGGUUGAAACGGUGGACCAAACAUGUGCUCUAUGAGGACGUGAGCAGAAGAUAGUGGACUACUUAUUCUCAUAUUGUGUUAUCUUCAGGUUCAUGCUAAUUGGGCUAUAGGUAUAGUUAGUCGACAGGUCGAAGCACAUCAACCAGUCAUAAAGGGCCCUUCGUUGGAGAUCUAAAGAAUUUCGGAGAAACUGCAAAUACCCCUCCGUGGUUUCGAACUUUCUCACUUUAGUACCCUGUGGUUUAAAGUUUAUCAAGUUAGUACCCUUUGGUUUCGCACUUUCUCACUUUAGUAACUUGUGGUUACAAGUGUAUCAAAUUAAUAUCCUGUGGUUUUAUUUUUGUAUCAAUUUAGUACUCUGUGGUUUUAAUUUUAUCUUUUUAUUAUCCAUUUUGAGGUAUAUAAAUAUUAAACCACAGGGUACUAAAGUGAGAAAUUGCGAAACCAGAGGGUACUAACCGAUACAUUUUAAAUCACAGAAUACUAAAGUGAAAAAGUGCGAAACUACAGGGUACUAACUUGAUACAUUUCAAACCACAGGAUACUAAAGUGAAAAAGUGCGAAACCACAGAGGGUAACUCCAAGAAUUUCCUUUCUAGUGGAAUACAUGCAGAUAAAAUUGGAAGAGGAUUAGUAAAUACAUACCGUGAAGCAGAGAAACAAACUAGUACUUAGUCAGAUAUUAAUUGAACCAGUUUCUUUUAUCAUCAUGUCGCCUUAUACACGAAAAAAGAGAAAGUAUAUUGGGGUAUAAUGUGGGCCGUGCUAGGCCACAUUUUUCGGGCCGAAACGGGCUAGUAGUCGCCCCGGCCCGGCCUAGUUUCAAUUUCAGGCCGGGCCGGGCCGUGCUUUGGGCCGCCUCUUAAAAUAUUUAUUUUUUAAUUUUUUUUAAAAAUUAUUUUAAAUUUGAUUAAAUCAUUUAAAAAUUUAUAAAAAUAAUUAUAAUAUAGUAAAUAUUUAAUUUUUUAAAAAAUAAUAAAUUUGUAUUUUUUUUUUGAAAAAAAAAAAUUGAGGAAGGCGGUAGGGAGUUCUCAGAGGAGGGUGCCAGGGAGGAGGUAGGGGCCGCCGGGGGGAGAGGUCAGGGAUGUAGAAGGGGAUGGCCGGACGAGGUGGAGGGGGAUGGCCGGACGGGGUGGGGCCUUGGAUAUGGGGGCCGGGGCCGAGGCCGAGGCCGAGGCCUUCGGUGCCGCAGCGGGGGCUGUAGGCAGAGGCGCCGCGGGAGGCCAGUGCGAGGGCCUCGGGGGCCGGCAUCGGCGCCACGGGGGCCUCGGCCAGGGGGGGCCCCGCGGGCCGGCGCGAGGGCGGGCAGGGGCCGUGGGCGGAGGCGCCGCGGGAGGCGCCAUGGGCGCUACUCCUCAAGCUCCUGGGGAGGAGGAGGAGGGCUUCCCUCCUCCCAGGAGCUUAUGCCCUAAGGCCUUGCCUUGGGCCUUAGGAGUCCGGGCCGUGCUGGCCCGGCCCAAAAGGGCCGUGCCAUGCCGGGCCGCCCGCCUCCCCUCGGCCCGCCACGACCAGACCCGUUCGGGCCGUGCCAGGCCGUUAGGCCGCAGAGGAGCGGCCCAGGACGGUCCAGAGGUUCGGGCCGGGCUGGCCCGGCACGGGUGCUACAGUACCGUCGUAGUGUAGCUCGGCCCGAGGCAAUGCCGGGCCGGGCGGCCCAUGUGCCACCCGGCCUGUUUUACACCCCUAACUAUAUAAGAUAAGUUUCAUUUAAAAACAAUAAUAUUUAAUCAAACAUAUUAUUUAUUAACAAAUAUGAUAAAAGUUUAAUUUUCUUUGACAUCGAUUCAAUUUACAGCUAUUAUCGCGCGGCUUAUAAAGAUUAAUUAGAUAUAAAUUCUAAGUAAAAUCACUAUUACAGAAAAGAUUUUCUUUGGAAAACGACACGAAGAUACUGUGCUCUGCAUCUUCCAACAGCAUUACUAUUCUGCCAAUGAUAUUAUUAGAUUCCUCAACACUAAUAAAAUUAUAGAUAACAAAAACACCUUAGUCCAAUCAACUAAGGGGGCGCCUGGUUCGCGUAAAAUGAACUGAAAAUUUAUUUUCAAUAUGAAAAAUGUAUUUCUGUUUGUUUGGUUCGAUGUAAAAAUAUUUUUCCAUAAAAGUAUUUUUAUUGAUUUGGAAAAAAAUUGAAAUUUUCGUUUUCUGUUGUUUUUCGACAGAAAACGAAAACUCAAGCGGUGUAAAAGAUUUUUCAUUUAUUUUUUUUCCACCAAACUAAACAACUGUAAAUUUUUUUUUCAACUAAACAAAUAUCGAUAAAAAAUUACUUUUUUUUCUACAAAACGUAAAAUUAUUUUUCAGCCAAAAAAAUUUUUCCAUUAAAAAAUCAUCUCUCAUGAUUUUAUGUUGAACUAAACAGAUCCCUGCGUAUGGAAACAAAGGAGGGAACAAGGGCUUAUUCUCUCCCUUGUUCCCGAACCAAACGCUACCUAAGUAGUUCCCAUUCAAUCCUUUUAAAAAAUUAAUCACCAACGAAAGCCCUUUGACUAAGUCAAUGACACUUGCAUCUUCUUUUUUUUUAUAUUUAGUUUUGCAUCUUCUUUACUUGGUGCUAAUGAUAUUUAGUGGCUUAUUGUUGAAGAGCAUCUAACUAGUGCCUGUUUGGGCAUUCUAGAGAAUCAUUUGUCUACGGGAAAAGCAGGAAUAAGCAAAUUGGUAAAAGUUCUAAAAUUUUUUGUUCGAUCAAGUUGCUCAAAAGAGCAUUUGGACCCCCAAAAAGCAAGCUUGUAAUUGAAGAUUGUGCAUUUAACUUCAUUCAAACUUAAAUUUUUAUUAGUUACUAUCUAAACAAUAUUUUUGCAGAAGCUUCAGUCUAGCUAGAUAUAUGCCAUAUUAAUAUGGAGGUAUUUAGCUAUUUAUUUGCUUCUACAAAAAUGAUAUUAAUAAACACUCCACCAAAGGAAUCAAUAUAGUUUCUAUUUCGUUUAAUAUCCAAUACCAGUUCAAUCCUACAGAUGUAUAUCUAUACUGGAAUAGGGAGCUGAAAAAGAUAUCUGGCUUCAAAUUCAAAAUCUCUUGAACUUGAACAUUUUGAUUUGAAUGAUAAACUACUUGAAAGAUUUGAAAAGGGAUAGAACUUUUUAAGAUUUUUCAAAUAACUCUACAUGAAAAAUACUUCUAUAAAAGCUCCAAUAGGGCCAAUCAUGCGUUGGUGGUAUCUACACGCUAGUAACAAGUGGUUAGAGUGAACUAUCACUCUCAAAGAUAUGGAAUACUAAAGGCAUAAGAGUUAAUAGAUAAAUACAGAUAAAAUUUCAGUUGAGAAAUGGAAUACUAAAAGCGUAAGAGUUGAUAGAUAAAUACGGAUAAAAUUUCAGUUGGAACUCCCCAACGAUGCCUCGUUGGAGAGCCGCCCUCGAUUCGCUGUCAUGUAUUAGUUUUGACUGUAUCCAAUGUUUCAUUAGGUAUUAGAAAAUACUAAAAUUCAAAAAAAAUUUAAACAUUAGAGGAAAGGAUUAUUACUCUCGGCUAGAGAUAAUAGUGAUAUGCGAUGAUGUAUUGGGACUCGUUAACAAGGCGUUGUUAGCGAACUCCCCACUAAAAGCAAAGUUUUUUUUUUAAAAAAGCUAAAAUAUAAAUUUUGGUUUAGUGUUGUAAUUGAAUCCGGUGCCUUUGGAAUAAUCUAGUUGGACCCGAAAGUAAGGUCCACCUACGUCUUUUUUGAUUCUUAAGCAUGUUGAUGUGAUCCACCACUUCACCAUAUCAAUGAUUUUGUUGAAAUUAAUACUAAUUAAAUUUAAUUUUGGUCGAUACCUCAUCGUUUUACAUUUCCAGUCCUCUUAGUAAUUUAUUGUGGUAAUUAAAUUGAUUUAUACAACACUAAAUCCUUAUUUUUUUAGAAAUCUACAAAAACAUGAUUUUUUUUUUAAUACUCAGAAUAUUAUUUUAUAUUACAAUGCGAAAAACUCGGAAUAUUAUUUUAUAUUACAAUGCGAAAAACUAAUAAAUAUCCAGUUGCUUAUCUCGAAAAUUAGUUUCUAAAGAGGUGUUUGGUUCGUUGGAAAAGCGUAGAAAAAAUUUUUUCGAAAAAAAUUUCUCCAUGAAAAAUCUCUUUUUCAGCUUUUCGUCCAUUUAAUUAAUUUCAAGAAAAAAUAAUUUUUUAAAAAAAUUUAUUUUUCAAAUUUCAUGACAAAUUAAUAUUUUUGUUUUUCAAAUUUUUUUAGAAAAACGAAAAUACUAAUUUUUCAUAAAAUUUGGAAAGUUUUCAAAAAAGUAAGUUCUUUUUAAACCAAACGUACAGAAAAUUGAAAAAGAAAAUUCAUAAAAAAAAUUUUGGAAAAAAUUUUUCCACGCUUUUUCCAAGAACCAAACAACUCCUAAAUGUUGCAUUUGUAUCAAGUUAAUAUAACUAAAGACUUCUAUUGAACUCCUUUUAAGUUCUUUUAGGAAAAAUGCAUGGAUCAAACUACUCUGGAAUUUUAGUUUGUGCCUCUAUAUAUAAAGGUAGUAAUAUAUUAAGUAAAAGUUAUUAUUAAGUAUAAAGGUACUUAGACCAAUAUCCAUAAAGUAGAAGUUUAUAUUAAAUAGAUUUUUUUUUUGAGAGAUUAUAUUAAAUAGAUUUAGUAUUAGCUUGUUGCUAACUUGCUAUCUACACUUACAACACUUGGUAAAACUUAACCUUAUCUAGCAUUAGCUCGUAAUUUCGGUAUCUUUAAUAGAAUUUAAUUUGCAAUUGACGUAUCAUUGUUUAAAAGUUAAAACAAACAAAUAUUCACCCACUCAUUAAAUUUGAUGUAUAAUAUCUGAAAUAUCUUUAUUGAGAAAUCAUUUGUUGUAAAGUAAGCUCAAUUAAAUAGAUUCCUUAGACCACCCUUUUGAAUGGGAACUUGCGCAAUGCGUCAUUCCUCGUGUGUCAUGCCUCGUGCGUCAUGCCCCCAUCUUCUCAAAAUAAUUCAGCUCGUGACAUUCAUAAAAAGUUAGAAAAAUGUUGUACAAACACUACAACAAAAAUGGUCUAUAGCGACACUUUUAAAUAUAAGUACAUGUCAAAAAAGUGCUACUAGCUAAAAUUACCGACACUUUUAAAAAGUGUUGCUAUAUGUGAGGUCGCUAGGUAUAUAGUGACAGUUAAAGAGUGUCGCUAUAAUCUAAAAAAGUGCUGCUAAUUUACCAACACUUAUUUAAGUAUUUAGCAAUCCCUGAAACUCUAUCUCGUUGGCUGCGGUGGCGGAGGAGGACGACAGUAAAGGCUCUUCGUCUAGAAUUUCAGUGGAUUGAGUGAAGAGAGAAGAAAAGAUGGUAAUUAAUUUUUCUUUUUUUUUUCUUUUUUAUUUGUAAUCAGACCAAAUGAACUGGGUGUGGUGGAUUGAGUAGAGUAAUCUUUUAUUUUUGGUUGGAUUGGACUUUAUAUUUAGGCAUUAGUAGAUGUGUUUUUAAGUUUUAGUAUAAAUGAAACACUUACUCAAAAGUGUCCCAAACAUGUGUCCCUAUAACUUAAUUCUGUUGUAGUGAUUUUUUGAAUUAAUAGUUGGCAUUCUAUCUCGUAGAUGAGGGUCAGAUUGAAUCGAAUCAUAAAGGUUAAAAUGAACUUGAGGGACUAUUAAUUUAACUUUGGACGUGCAAUUUGCAAAGACCGUACCGUAAAAUAGGAUAAGGAGGAAUAAGAACGUCAAUUAUUAACCAACCUAUCGAGGAUGCAGCAGUCUCCAUCUGCGUAAGGAAUAUAACUUCUUGUGUGGACCUCUUCUUACGUGAUUUUGCAUUUUCCCGCUCGUCACUCGUGUAGUUCACCAUGCGCAUCGAGAAAUUAAUGCCUAGACUACUUGGUGCACCACGUUAGUCAUGUAAAUGUAAGACUAUUACGAGAUUUAUAAGUUUUUAGCUGUUCCCGAUCACCAAUAAAAUAAAUUAUUUGCAAUAUUCUCUAUUACAGCUAACUAAUUAAGAAAAAUACAUGCAAUUAUAGCUGAUGCAUUUUUAACGGAAGGUGCACGGGAUGACGUGGUGCACUUGGCGCAAGCAAAAGUUGAUCCUGAAUAUCUAUCCUGCCUAUAAAUAUCGCGCCAAAUUAGCCGUUUAAGCAAACAACAACAAGCAAAUAUAUAUAUCUGAGUUAAUAUUUCUUCUCUAGUCCGAAUAUAUAAUCUACUACACCUCGAGGCCGCCAUGGUUCACUUCAUGCACAACAAACGCCAGAUGACGAUGGAAGAGUUCCAGAGGUGGCUGAAGGUCGUCGACGCCAACGGCGACGGCCAGAUCAGCCGAAAGGAGCUCGAAGACGCGCUCCGCACGCUCGGGGUGCACUCGGUCCACCUCAGGGCCUGGUUCGCGGUCCAGAAAGCCGACCUCAACCACAACCGCGCCGUCGACGGCGAUCAGGAGAUCAAGAAGCUCACUGCUCAUGCGGAGAAGCACUGGGGGAUCGUCCUGGUCACUAAUAACUAGUAUCCGUGCAUGCGUGUGAACGCACGUACGGAGACAAUCGCGCAUCUUCGAUUAGUCACCAGUUAGUAAUUAAGCUACUAUUUUGCAUGGUUUUAUCUACGUCUGACCUAAGUAGCGUGUGAACUAUAUAGUUUUAAGUGCGUGGUGCAGGUACGUAGUUAGUUGCUGCUUCUUAAGGUACGUAGCAGUGUAUGUAUGUGAUGUGUGGUUGCUCAAAAAAGCCUGAGCAUAUCAUAUAUAUAUAUAUAUAUAUAUGUUCACUGUUGCUUAUAUUAAACUUUGCAUCCCAGUUUAUCGGAUAUUUACUUUUUCCUUAUAAUUUUUUUAACCUGCUUUCUCAUUUGGUUUCCCCCUCCCCUUACUUUUUAAUUGCUAUAACCUGGAUUUUGAACUGUCGAAUUAUUUGGUACUAACCAUUAAUCCUAAAAUCUCGAACGGUUAGAAAUAUACGACUAUUCAUUUAAAAAAUACAGAUACAGCGUUCUCGGGUUUCGAGGACUUGGCUUAACUAGUCUCACUAGGGAUGUCAACGGGUCGGAUUCGAGGCAGAUUUUUAAAAUUCCGAACCCGACCAAAAACCCGAAACCCGAUUCUCCAAGUUUCAAAAUUUCGAAACAUAUUAUAAAAAACACUAGUUCUAAAAUACAUAUUCAAAUACAACAUUAAACAUUUAUGCCAUAUAAUAACUACAUCCAAAUAUAAAAAAUAUAAACUUAAAUAAUUAAAAACAGUAAUACAAUUUUUAAAUAUUUAAUAAAAAAUUUUAAAAAUUUGAUAGUUCCAUUCCCCAAUAAUCCAUAAAAAUGAAGAGACUAAAGUUAAAAAUACUAAGGAAAAAACGAAAUAAAAAAUUUCUAAAAAGUUAAAAAGGAAAAUAAAGUUCGAUUGCCCAACAAUCCAUAAAAACUAAGAGAUUAAAAUUAAAAAGUGAGAAAAAAAAAACACAUAAAUAUUAAAAAUCUAAGAAAGUAAGAAACCCACAUCAAUUUUUUUUAAAAAAAUUCUUACCUUCUUUCUCUUAGAUUUGAGUUUAUGAUUCUUAGUGAGGAAGCAACAAGCUAAAGAAGCUAACGAGAGAAUGGCCACCUUCUUGGCCUCUUGGGAAUGGGGAGGAAUUAAAAGGGAGAUACAAGCAUCCUCUCUUUUGAGGCUUUUACAAUUAGGGUUUGGGAAGGCUUUGACUACUAGGAUUUCGGUUAUAAAAGUACGAGUUUUUUUGGCAUUUAAAUUCAGAUCUAAUGGUUUGAAUUUUUUUUAUAUAUUGCAUUAUAGUAAAUUUAUUCGGAUUCAAAUUCAGGUUCGGGUUGGGUUCGGGUUCGGAUUCGGAUGUUUUUUAAAUAUCCAUAUCCGAACCCGAAUCUGUCGGAUUUUUUUUUUAAUAUCCAUAUCAAAAUCUAUAUUUAUUUACAUCGGGUAAAAUCCGCUCCGUUCGGAUUCGGAUUCGAAUUCAGAUUCGGAUAAAAUUCAGGUAUCCGUAUCCAUUGACAUCCCUAAGUCUCACGCUUCAGAUAUGACUUGGCCUAGUCUUGUCUCUUGUCAUUUUGAAUGUGGCUCGGUCAAAAUUUGAUCUUUGGCCACAUAGCAGAUUGUUUGUCACUUUAGACCAACAUAACCAUUAACCCAUCCUACUGUGUAUGUAUGCAAAAGUCCAUAUUUCAGUUUCCUGAAAAAGCUAGAAUUUUAGUAUAAUUUCGUGGCGAAAUUGCUUUGGUAUUAUAUAUGGUGUCCACAUAUAUAGUGAGUGAUGCAACGUCAAAAUUAAGAAAAAGUAGAGAAAAGCAUGAAUUAAUUUUCUUUUCCUCUCUCCAACAUUUUCUCUCCACGUAUAAAAGGAAUAAUUAGGCAAAAAUAUGUUCUCAAAUUGAUGGAGCAAAUAGAAAAAGGCAACUCCUUGGGCCUGAAAUAGCACUCAACUAAGUCCAAGAAGAACUCUAAUAGAUCCUUCUGUUUGGCCCGGAUUGUCUGUUUUGCAAGCUAAGGCUUAGUUUGGUAUUGCAUUUAUUUUAUUUUUUUUAAAAAAUAUCUUUUAGAUUGUUUAUGUUUUGGCUUUUGGUAGUAAAAUAAUCUUAAAAAAUAUUUUUUAUUUUAUUUUUAUAACAAAAUAUUAAAUCUAAUAGCUGUAGCGGAGAAUCAAAUAAUUUUUUUUUUUGAGAAAAAGGUAGCACGCUAUCCGCUUUAUUCAUUGAUUUGAUGAAAUAAAAAAAAAUCUUAACCAAGUUAGGACGCGAGGAUCAGGUCCCACCCCUUCACGAGAAUCAAAUAAUUAAAAAAGAGAGACCGACCGUCCCUAAAGCAAGUGGUAAAGGGCUUGGUGGUUGGUAUCCGAGACUCAAGUUCGAAUCCUAGUUGAUUCACAUUUCCAGCUAAGUUUAUUUCUAAAAUGAAAUAAACGAAGUGGGUAGCGUGCUUCCUAUCUCUCUCAAAAAAAAAAAAGGAAAAAAAGAGAGAGACCAACUGUCCCUAAAACAAAUGGCAAAGGGCUUGGUGGUUGGUACCCGAGACCUAAGUUCGAAUCCUGAUUGAUUCACAUUUUUAGCUAAGCUUAUUUCUAAAUGAAAUAAACGAAGCGGAUAGCGUGCUAUUUAUCUCUCGAAAAAAGAAAAGAAAAAAAAAAAAGAGAGAAUGAGAAUAAGACAAGCUAAUUAACCCGGAUAGGAGGAGGAGAAGGGCGAUAAUUUUAAAAUAAAAGAAUAAUUUUUAAAAGUAGAACAUAAAAAUAUAUAUGAUAUCAGGCAUGUUCUUUUUCAAAAGAAAACUCUGAUUUUGUUUUUAAAAGUAAAAAAACUAAAAACAGAAACGAUACAAAACGGAGCCUAUCGGAUUUGGUAUUUUUGCUACUUCUUGUAUAAAACUCAAAUGAUCAAACUAAUUAAUAACCUCGAUUUGGUGUUUGUACUUCUACUACAGAGAGAACUCUCUCCGAUGGGAUAUAAUAAGCUUCGAUUUGGUGUUUGUACUUCUACUGCAAAGUGAGAUUACGUUCCCUUUCUUUUUAUUUCUUUUUUCUUUCUUGUUUUGUGUAUAUUGUACAACUACAACAGAAUUAGGUUAUAGGGACACAUAUUUUGGACACUUUUGAGUAAGUGUUCCACUUAUGCUAAAACUUAAAAACACAUCUACUAAUGUCUGAAUAUAAAGCCCAAUCCAACCAGAAAUAAAAGAUUACUCUACUCAACCCACCACACCCAGUCCAUUUGGCCUGAUUACAAACAGAAAAGAAAAAAAAGAAGAAAAAUCAAUUACCAUCUUUUCUUCUCUCUUCACUCAAUCCACUGAAAUUCUAGACAAAGAGCCUUUACUGUUGUCCUCCUCCACUAUCGCAGCCAACAAGAUAGAGUUUCGGCGGUUGCUAAAUGCUUAAAUAAGUGUUGGUAAAUUAGCAGCACUCUUUUAGGUUAUAGCGACACUUUUUAACUGUCACUAUAUACCUAGCGACCCCACAUAUAGCAACACUUUUUAAAAGUGUCGGUAAUUUUAGCUAGCAGCACUUUUUUGACAUGUACCUAUAUUUAAAAGUGUCGCUAUAGACCGUUUUUAUUGUAGUGGGUCUUCAAAGAAUCUUAUGAGAAAUUAGCCAUGAUAUAUCUUAUUCAUUCAUAAUAUUUAACAUCAAACAAGUGCAAUUCCAUACGCACGUUAUGGGUGGUACAAUUUUGUGGUUGUUGGCUGCAUCAUAAUCGCGGAAGCUGGUGGAAAAUGGGCGGAUGUUGUUGUCGCAGACCGCAACGCUUAGAAUAAAGCCUGGCGAGUGGGCUCGGAAAAAUUGGGUCCUAAUUAACCCAGUAACUGUACACAUUUUGCACAAGAUCAAAUUAACCUCACGCGAAGUUAACGGGCGAACCAGGACCAGAUCUAAAUCAAGUUGCGUGAUUUGGGUUUAUGUUUAAUUUCAUCCAUCCUCGUUUGGUGUAAUUUUGAGAUCACGAUGUAACUCUCUAGAGGAAGAAGCUUUUUGAUCACUUGAUUAAAUGAAUCCAUAUUUACUUUAUUUAAUUCAUUAAUGACAGCGACAUCGACAGUACUUUUUUUUUUUUUUUUGAGAGAGAUAGGUAGCACGUUACCCGCUUCGUUUAUUUCAUUUAAAAAUAAUUUUAAUUAGCUAGAAAUGUGAAUCAAGUAGGAUUCGAACUUGAGAUCUCGGAUACAACCAUCGACAGAACUAAUUAAGACUAUCAUAGGCACAGGCACAGGCGCAGGGCUAAACUAUCAUGACAUUGAUCAUCGGAAAAGUCAUCACGAUCUUUAGAUAAUUCUCAACACGAAAACAUUCGCCGUAGAAGCUCCAACGUAGCCAAAUGUUUCUUUUUUUUUUUUAGAGAGACAGGUAGUACGUUACCCGCUUCGUUUAUUUUAUUUAGAAAUGAACUUAACUGGAAAUGUGAAUCAAUUAGGGUUACAACAUAGUCAAAUGUUAUUGGAAAAAAAUGGAGGUACCCUAAAUCAUAAAUUUGAACUUACCACUACUUUUCCACCUAAGCAGUAAAAUAGAAUAAUCCUAUAUUGGCCUUCACGCAAAUAUCACGUCAAACGAUUCAUGAGGUGGAAAGUUAACAAAAGAAAAAAGAAAAAAAAAAAAAAAUCCUGCGGACUUUUGAAUGGACUUUCACUUCCGGGGUUGUGCAGCAUCUCAAAAAAGAUGCACGCAAACAAGAUAAUGGAGAAUAAAGUUAAUUAGUUGCUGUUCCUUUUCUCACCCGAUUUUCUUUGUUCAAAUUAAGGACCAAAUCCGGUCAAGCCCACCACACAAGAGUUGUUUAUUAAUUGUUCUCUCUCUGUAUAUACCCAAACUUGCAAUUUGAUUCUUAUACUUUUCACAUAAACACUUACAAAGCCCAAGAUUUAAAAAAUAAUGACUACUUUUUAAAUAUCAUUAAACAUUAUCUAAUGUUUCGAAACUAACAUGUAACAUAUUUAAAAGUUCAGGGACUAGAGAUUUUAAAUUGUGGGAACCAGGUUUUGCGCCACUUGAGAAAAACGUGUUCGUGCUCGAUUGUUAAAUUAAUAAAAGGCCUCAAUUGGCCUCUCCUCUAUUCUCAAUUAGCUUAAGAGAACAUUAAUUGGUGAAGUUAACCAUGGCCUUCAUGUGUUACCGGGUGCUUCCGCAGAGAGAGAUGAGCAUCGAAGAGUUCAAAGCGUGGCUGAAGCAGUUCGACGCGAACCGCGACGGGCGGAUCAGCAGGGAGGAGCUGCAGCAGGCGCUGCGCAGCCUGCACGCGUGGUUCGCGUGGUGGAAGGCUCGCGAGGGGGUGAAGGAAGCCGACGCCGACCGGAACGGGCUCGUCGAUAAGGAGGAGAUCGGCAGGCUGGUCGGAUACGCGCAGAAGCGUCUUCAUAUGAAGAUCAACGAUUACGAUUACUACUAACAAAAGGAAAAUCUUGAUAUUUUUUUAAAAUCCAAACAUUAAGGAAUUGUUUUGUUUAAGAGUUUUGCACCUAGAUAUUGUUAUGUUAAACAUACUCCUGUAAAAUUUAAACAACCAAUUUCCUCCUUGUUGUAACGAAUAUAAUAGCAUGAUAGACGACUUGCUUUGCUCUAUCCUCUAUGUAUUGUAUGGCUGAUACUUAGAACAUAUUUGUUUUGCGUAAAAUUUUAUUAAGGAAUUAAAAAAGAUUAUGAUAAGAUCAUUUGAACUCCUACUCAUAGCAUUUGGAUCAACCGUGCAAAGUCGAUUGUGAAACGCGUGAACCCCACACCCUUCGUCCUAACAAAACAAAUAGACCCUCACAUGCAUGUUUGGCUUAGGAGCAAAUUAAACGAAACAAAUCGAGGCGUAAUAUUAUAUCCCUAUAGUUUCACAUCAGAUGAAAAAAUAAUUCUGAUUCCCACAUCACAUUAGUCCAACGAGUUAUUAUUGUUAGCUGUUCAGAUCGAUACAAAUAAACAUUAUAAGAUAGUACACUGUUUAUUUUAAGUUGACAACCCAAUUUUCAGCAAGUUCAUUCAUUCUACUACUAUUCUUGCCCCAACAAAUUUAAAUAUUUAAAAUAUAAAUUUAUAUUAAUAGCCUUAUUUUUGGCUAGGAAUUUUAAUUUGAACUUUGAAAUCAAAUUGUUCCAAAUUAUAAAUUCAAAUUAUUGAUUGAAACUUGAAUUCAAAAUUUAAAUUUUUACUUUAAAAUUCAAAUUCAAAUUUAAGUUUGCAUUUUGAAUUUAAUUUCAAUAAUGAGUUUCAUUUUGAACUUUGAAUUCGAAUUAUAAGUUUAAAUGCUCAAUUUGAGUUAUGAUUUAAACUUAAUUUUUAAUUUAAAAUUUAAAAUUUAAUUCAAAUUGUGAAUUCAUAUUUGAAUUUAGAAUUUAAGGUCAAAUAGUAAAUUAAAAUUUUUAUUCAAAUCAUAAAUUCAAAUUAUAAAUUCAAUUUUGAAUUAAGGUUUUAAUUAUUAUAUUGAAAUUUGAUUUUUUAAUUUAAUUUCAGUUAUGAAUGAUCUAAAUUUAAUUAUAUGUCUUAAAUUUUAAUUAUAAAUUCAAAUCAGAUUUAAGUCUAAAUUUAAAUUUCAAAAAUUCAAAUUAUUGAUUGAAACUUGAAUUCAAAAUUUAAAUUUUUACUUUAAAAUUCAAAUUCAAAUUUAAGUUUGCAUUUUGAAUUUAACUUCAAUAAUGAGUUUCAUUUUGAACUUUGAAUUUGAAUUAUAAGUUUAAAUGCUCAAUUUGAGUUAUGAUUUAAAUUCAAUUUUUAAUUUAAAAUUUAAAAUUUAAUUCAAAUUGUGAAUUCAUAUUUGAAUUUAGAAUUUGAGAUCAAAUAGUAAAUUAAAAUUUUUAUCAAAUCAUAAAUUCAAAUUAUAAAUUCAAUUUUGAAUUAAGGUUUUAAUUAUUAUAUUGAAAUUUGAUUUUUUAUUUUAAUUUCAGUUAUGAAUUAUCUAAAUUUAAUUAUAUGCUUUAAAUUUUAAUUAUAAAUUCAAAUCAGAUUUAAGUCUAAAUUUAAAUUUUAAAUUUUGAAUAUAAAUAUAAAUAUUUAAUUUAAAUUACGAGCAUAAGUCGCGCGUUUUUUGUAUUUAUACUUCUUUAUAUGUAAACGAAUAAUUGAAAUCACAAAACUAUAAUUUUUAUGUUUUAUUUUAUAGUCAAUAAAACAAGGGAAACUUCAAAUACCCCCCUUGUGGUUUCACUUUUUCUCACUUUAGUACCAUGCGGUUUAAAGUGUAUCAAGUUAGUACCCUGUGGUUUUGCACUUUUUUACUUUAGUACCAUGUAGUUUAAAGUGUAUCAAGUGAACACCCUGUAGUUUCACAUUUUCUCACUUUAGUACCAUGUGGUUUCGUAAUUUCUCACUUUAGUACCCUGUGGUUAUCCUGUGGUUUAAAAAUCACAGGGUACUAACUUGAUAUAAAAAUAAAAUCACAUGAUGCUAAUUUGAUACAAAAAUAAAAUCAUAGGGUACUAAUUUGAUACACUUUAAACCACAGGAUACUAAAGUGAGAAAGUGCAAAACCACAGGGUACUAACUUGAUUCACUUAAAACCAAAGGGUACUAAAAUGAAAAAGUGCGAAACCACAGGGGGGGUUUUGAAGUUUUCCCGUAAAACAAUCUAACUCAAAAGUCACUUUUAAAAAAGUUAUUUUUAUAAAAAUUAUUUUUUUUCACUUCAAUCAUUUUUGGAUAACCAAACAUACGCUAAUUAAGACCUCCUGGAUUUCUCUUUCACCGGCGUGUUUUUUUUUUGAGAAAAGGUAGCAUGCUACCGCUUCUUUCGCCGGCGUGUUUUUCUUCCUUGGUUUCGACGGUUUCUCUUGCAAUCUCCCAUCGACUCCUCUAUUCUUCAUCGACUUGUUGAUCUCAAAGGGACUACUUGCACCGUCCAGAAAGCCCGGAGCUCACCACUUUGUCAGACGAAAAUUGAUCGGAUAUGCACCAAAUUCAUGUGGACACAUGUAAAGGACAUAUCCAAAUUCAUGUGGACACAUGCAAAGGCUAGAUAAGUACACAAUUUAUCUUUUUCAUUAUUCUCGAUUCCCUGUCAUCUUUUUCCUGCAAAUUUCGUUCAAUCAGUGUGUUUUGCCAAAACAGGUACAUAAGAUGCAACAUGAAUGUUCUACACACUAAUCAGCCAGUAAUGGACUUAGCCUAAUCCCUGAUCUGACCCAGGCCCAGCUGAAACGUUUUUCACGAUUGUAAUUUACCAGUCAAAAUGAAAAAAAAAAAAAAAAGAAAAAAAAGAAAAAAAAGAGAGAGAGAGAAAAAGUAUUCUCGUGCUCUAAUUUGAAGAAAAAAUCUUGCCCAAAAAUCCAAUCAUUUCAAAAGUAGAGAAUCCUAAAGUUGAUUUUUUUUUUUUUUCUCCAACCUAAUUUGGGCAUCUGAUUCUCCCUCCACUUUUCAAAUCUACGCUUUUGUACCAGCACCACUGGGCUUUCCGUGGGCAUCACACAUCGAUGAUCAUCGAUCAUGUGGUGAUUAAAACCCUUCCUUUAAAUGAUUCUCAAUCUUUCCCGCAUGAUCAAAUAGAAUUGUAUACUAUUCCAACUUUGCCUGCCGCCCACUCCCCCCAGAUUCUCGCUUGUCCGGUACGUUUCGUUCGCUUUCUCGCCAAAUUUCUUGUCUUAAUGGAGGCUCAAUCAACGAAAAAUAUGAUUUAUAAGGAAGGAAUAAAGUACACAACAUGCUUUUUCGGCAUAUAAAUCCCUAGAAGUGUAAGUACUAGUGCUGCACAGUCGAAGGGAUACUUAGGGUUUGUUUUUUUGUGUGUGUGUCGAGCGGUAAGUGAGAGAUGGCGAUCAGGAACGUGAACAAUGCGCCCCGAUCGGUGGACGGGGACAUGACGAUGGACGAGUUCAAGGAGUGGCUAAAGAGGUUCGACGUGGACAAGGACGGGCGUAUCAGCCGCGAGGAGCUACAGCGCGCCAUCCGCUCCGUCCGCGGCCGCUUCAGUGGCUGGAAGUGCGGUCGUGGCAUCCGCCGCGCCGAUGUAGAUGGUAACGGAUACAUCGAAGAGGAUGAGAUCGAUAAUCUCGUGGAGUUCGCCCAGAAGAGGCUUGGCGUGAAGAUCGUGUCCUAUUAAUUUACUUUCAGAUCAUGCGAGGUAAGUAAUAUCUACGGUGGUGUUAUUAACAAAGCCAAAUUUGCUAUUAACAGAGAGAUUCACUGAAUUCACAGACGUUUAGUACAUUUGAACGAUUCAAUGAAUCUAGUAUGUAAAUAGUUAAAAUUGGCUUUGCUGGGAACACCAUCUAAAGUAACUGGGGCAAGAAAAUAAGAAUUCCAAGACAAUAAAUAUAAUCCUAGUGUGGUGAAUUUGUGAUUGUAAUAGAGCUCUAACUGCUAUAAUUAAGAUAGGUUAACUGUAUUGUAAUCACCUCUUUUCUCCCUUGUGUGGUUUGUACCAUGUGUGGAUUAAGUUGCUAUUAUAAAGUUGGUGUUUUUCUUUUACUUUGUGAAUAUUAAUUACUGUGUUUUCCCUUUCAUUUUAUUCUCCUUAAAUGGUAAUGUUAUCAUCAUAAUCCAUCUACUUUUGUUCUUUAACUCUUAAUGCAUAUAUAAUAUUCUUGAAGCAGAUAUAAGUAGAUCAUAAUGAAAUUAGGUGAAAUCACAAAUUUUUUUUUUUUUUUUUUUUUGAGAGAUAGAUAGCACGCUACCCGCUUCGUUUUAUUUCAUUUAGAAAUAUACUUAGCUGGAAAUGUGAAUCAACUAGGAUUCGAACUUGGGUCUCGGGUACCAACCACCAAGCCCUUUGCCACUUGCUCUAGGGACGGUCGGAUACAAAAAGUUAGAUUGCUUUUAGCUGAGAUGGUGCAACUGUACAAAAUUGGGACUUACAUGGACAAAGGAGUAGUUUGAGAUACUUCCAAAUGAACAUAAAUAGUUAAGAGACCUUUUAUGAAAUCUCAAAUAUUUGAAGGACUAAUUUGAAAAAAACAAAAAACAAAAAACAUANGAAAUAUACUUAGCUGGAAAUGUGAAUCAAAUAGGAUAUAGAAAAUAAAUCUCGGGUACCAACAACCAAGCCAUUAGACACUUGAUCUAAGAGACGAAACGAUACAUAAAAAUGAGUAUUGCUAUAAUUAAACUCGUAUUGAUAGUGCAACUGUACUAAAAAUAAAAUAAUAAAAAGACAAAGGAUAUAGAAUGAGAUACUUACAAAUAAAAAUAAAUAAUUAAGAGAAAUUAUAUGAAAUAUAAAAUAUAUGUAUACGAGCUAAUAUCAAGCCAAAAACGAAAAAACAAAAAACAGAACGUGUAAGGACUCGAAUUAACUUAAACGAGCGAGACGAUGGCGAGCUCAUUUCGAGCCGAACACGAGCUGGCUCGCGAACAGCGAGCUGUAUUGCCACCCCUAAUGACAACAAAGCUUAUUGAUUGACACUUUAACAAGAAUAGCCCAAUGGGCUUUUCCCUCAAUCCACAACUUCUCCGCCUUUUAUUUCACAAAAAGGCACAGGUAAUUAAUAUUAUGGGUAUUUUAUAUCUGUAAAAAGUUACAUAGAAGUAUAGUUAAUGAGUCAGUUUCUAAUUAUAAUGCAAUAACAAACUAUAUAUAAAACUAGCUUGUAAAUUAGUUUUUCGGAGAUCAUGUUUGUCUCGAAUGGAUGUUAUUAUAAAAAUUAAAAUCUAACUUAUCAACUGCAUUUUCAAUACUGAUCUUGUAGUAUUACUUUUUGAUAUUCAAAUAAACUUCGCAAAAUAUUAAACGACCAAAAUCACUUGUUUGACUAUUGACCACCAAUAAUUGCUUCUUACUUCAUCAAAAGCUUUGUACCUAGGCUAGCCAGGGUACUUAGGUAUAGGGACGAAACUAGCACUCGAUUAUGAAAGAGGCCAAAAAUAUAUACAAAUCAAAAUUUUAGCAAAUAAACAAAAUUUACUUAGUCAAAUUUUUGAUGAAAAAAUAUAUUGACUAAAUAAUUAGUGUAAAAAAGCAUUACCCAUUUUUUAUUUAUACUUACUUAACUUCUAAUUAUUUUAUUUAUAUUAUUUUACUCAAUAAUAGUAAAAUGACUAUUAGUUGACAGAACUAUUAACUUUAAUAUAACCUUUAAUUUAAUUAAAUAAAAAAGUAUCUAAAAUAAUUAGAAAUUAUGAAGGUACUAAACAAAAAAAUAAAUAAAUAAACUCAGAGUUGAGAGAGCAUUAUAUUAGCGCUAAAUUUUUUAAAAAUAAACAGGUUACUCAUCAUAGUUUUAAAAUUAAAUAAAAAAAAUAUUUUUUAAUUUUUUUAUAUAAAAAAGACUAUUAUGCAAAUUAUAAAAUUUUGGGGGGGCCAUGGCCCCCCCUCGGCCUCAACAUAGCUCCGUCCCUGCUUAGGUACAAUUUAAUCAAGGUAUUGUGAUAAUCACCAUAUAUAGUGCCAUAUACUAUUCCUUGGAAAUUACACUCUAUUAUUUUCUAUGUAUAGGGUGAUUAACAAGGUCGUUUGUGUCUCUUUUUUUACGUUUAAGCAACCUCAUAUGUGCUUCUCUUACACGUAAGAAAAAGUUGUUACCCACUUAUGAGAUGGUGCAAUCAUUUUACAACACAAAAUUAUUCUUAUGGGCAAUUUUGAGUUGAUCCUGAAUUUUUAAUUAAUUUUGACAAUUAGAUUUUGUAAAUUUUAUCAAAAAUUUAAUAUGCCUAGUAUAAUCAAAUUUACUAGUCGUUUUGAUCGUAUGUCUUGUAUACAAUCUUAUAAAACUUUAAAAUACAAAAAAAAAGAUUAAUUUUUCUAUUUUAAUUUAAAAAAAAAAGAUUCCAGAAAUUAAAAGCAGGCUCAUUCUAUUCUUUGAAGCCUCAUGCUUGUCAAAGUUCGAAGAGAAAAAAAAAUGUUUCUUCACAAUUAAUUAGUCUUACAAUAUGAUGUGCAUAAUAUGCAAUAAUAACGGCUAUAUAAUUAAUAACUUUGAUCGAGAAAAUGAGUCUAUUAAAAUAUUUUAUAAAAUUUAGGGAGUCUAUUUGCCUAAAUUAAAAGCCUAUGCAUCUAAAUGCAAAAGAGCUAACGCUUAAGGGGUCUUUAUGCCUUUUUUUUGUGAAAAGUAAAUAAACUCGUACUUGGGGUAAUUAAUAUAAUUGACUUUUAUAUUAGAGAACCGCUUGUAUAUUUAUACGAUUUGAUCAAAUCUAAUGUAUCUACUGCAUAGAUAACAAAACAUACAUGGUAAAUUUAUAUUUGUUUCACCAUAAUUCAAGGACUAGGGCCCACUCCAACUGUAGAUUUGGAUUUAAUAGUUUACACAAUGCAUAUAUCUUUGCCCCAAAACGAACAACUUUAAAAAAUAAUUUUACUUAUGCAUUUAUAGAAUUUGAUUGUGUCGCCACUACAACAAAAACGGUCUAUAGUGACACUUUUAAAUGUCGUUAUAAGUCAAAAAAAAGUGCUGCUUACUAAAUUACCGACACUUUUAAAAAGUGUUGCUAUAUAUGGGGUGGCUAGAUAUAUAGUAACAGUUAAAGAGUGUCGCUAUAACAUAAAAAGAGUGCUGCUAAUUUACUAACACUUAUUUAAGCAUUUAGCAACCGCCGGAACACACCUCGUUGGCUGCGGUGGCGGAGGAAGAGGAGAGGGAAGGGCUCUUCGUCUAGGAUUUCAGUAAAUUGAGCGAGGGGAGAAGGGGAGAUGACAAUCGAUUUUUCUUUUUUUUUUCUUUUUUGUUUGUAAUCGGGCCGAAUGGGCUGGAUGGGAUUGGUUGAGUAGAAUAAUCUUUUAUUUUUGGUUGGAUUGGGCUUUAUACUUAAGCAUUAGUAGAUUUUUUUUAAGUUUUGGCAUAAAUGGAACACUUACACAAAAGUGUCCCAAACAUGUAUCGCUAUAAUCUAAUUCUGUUGUAGUGAUAAAAUAAAUUAUUUUAUUUAAUCAUAAUCUUAAAUUGUUUAGGUUAAAAUUUUCUUUGAUUGCAGUCAGCUGAUUUGAUAAAAAGAAAUAGCAAAAAACUAUAGUAGAUUAAUUGAUUAUGUUUAAUUUGCAGGUUUGUUAAAAUUUAAAUUAUUUUAAAAUUUUAAAUCUGUUAAUAAUUAUAAAAAUUAUCUUAUAAUGGUUGUUUUAUAUGUAGACACACUUUGAAAACAGAAAGGGCAAUGUUGGAAAAAAAAAAAAAAAAAAAAAAAAAAANAUAUAUAGAUCUUAAUUCUUUAAUUAAGCUCUAAAAUUUUAUUUCAUGUGGAAAUAUGUGACAUUCAUUUUCUCAAAACAAAACACAUAUGGAACAAUAGUUUCUCUUCUCUUUAGAGAUAAAGCUCAUAGGGGUUCUCUUUCGUAGUGAUAUGUUUUUUUUUUGAGAGAUCUUUCGUAGUGAUAUGUAAUGAGACAUAAUUAAGAUAAGAACAUGAAUAUUAGUAGUACUAUUAAUUGAUAAUUAAUUGGUCUGACACAUAAUUUGUUCCUUCCACUGUUCCACCACUACCAAAUAAAACCAUCCUAGAAUGAAAAAGCAAAAAAAAAAAGAAAAAGAAAUAACGCUCGUAACCUUAGAAUCAAACACGCAUCUAAGCACUCCCAAAUAUAAUAAUAUAUAAUAAUUAACAUUAAACAUCGCCACAAACAAGCAGCUGUGCUACCAACAUGGGAGACCAAGAGAGAGAGAUCCCAUUGGGGUUAAGUCACUUUUGACCGCUCCUUAAAGCUCCACGUGGAAGCACUCCCACCGUACCACGUGUCCCCCAAAUUUCGGGCUCUGCAUGUGAGUGACAACCGUACCAUUUUGCGUGGGAACAAUAGUAAAAGCUAACACUUUUUUUGCAUUAUUUUUUUGAGAAAAAAAGCAGCACGCUACCUACUUCAUUUAUUCAGAUAAUAAAUUUAAUUAUAUAGAGUGAGACAGUAAGGGCCUCAAGAGAAAGAAAAAAAUCAAAAGAAAAUAUCUAAAAAGGAAGGUAAAAUAAAGGUAAAAUAAGAGUAAUAAAAAGGUUAAAAAUAAUUACAGCGUCAAAUCGGAAACUAAAAAAGAUGGAGAUAUCACCGAGCUCGACAGCACUUCGUUCAUUCUGUUGUCAGUUUUCUAAUGCGUUGGGCCAUAAACGUAGCGUCUGUAAACAGAUUUGUAAAAAUAACAUUAUUUCUUUCACGCCAGAUAGUCCAUCAUGUUGCCGCCACCAGUGUCUGUAUCUUUAGGACAUCACCCCCUCUCUGCAAUCUCUCCCAGACUAUAAUGACGUCCUCAUUCAAGGGAAAAGGAAGAAACUCUUCAAAAUUCGAGAUAAAUAAAAAUUUACUAACAAGACAUCCCACCAAAAAGUGAUUUACAAUUUCCAAAACAAUACCGCAUAAUACACACCAGAGGUUCUCUGACCAUCCACUUUUUGUGCAUUAUUAUUCAGGGUUUAUACACAUUUAUAUAUACUGUUUGAGUUCCCCGGCCCCUGCCCACUUUUCCAAAUAGUCAAAUCCUAGCUCCAGCCUAGCACGAAAUUUAAUACCAUCUUCCUAAAGUUAUCGUAUAUAUGAGCUUCUUAACGAAACAUUUCAACCCUUGGGCUUCUCAUAUUUUACAACAUUACCCUUGCACAGUAAUUAUUGCUACAUGCAUGGGCCUUAUAAUUUUUUUUUUUUUUUUUUUUUGUAAUUACAAUGUAUAUCCAUGUAUUGACCAAUGAAUAUUUUAUAUAUCUUGAGACUUGAGAGUUAACAUAUUAAUACUUAAUAUGUAAGAUUAAUAUUUUGAGAAGUCUACAAUACUAUUUUUUGUUUUCUAUUAGAUUGAUAUUAUAAGAGCUAUUCUGGUAUUGUUUGUUUGUUGCACAAAAGUAAAAAAUGAAUUAUUUGUCUCCUAUUAGGAGGUAUAUAUAUUUUGUAUGGUAUAUACAUAUAAUUUGUAAAAGUGGCAUUUUUAAUAUUAUAAUAUAUUCUUUUACUACAAACAUGUAUGCUACAAAGCCCCUUUAAAACUUACGCGUACGUGCAUGAGACAAUCACGUUGGUUUUGUCAGAUGAAUCAUGUGGCAAAUAGUGAGCUCGGUAAAGCUAUCUCAUUGGUUCAGUGUACCUCUUUUUAAGGAGUAACAAUUUGUUCUUUUUUUAUUUAUUUAUUGCACUUCAAGUCCAUUUGGGGCAUGUCCCCAAAAAGAGAUAUUGAAGCGAAUCAAAAAUCAGUUGCUUCAUUUCAAAUCUUAAAAAAAAAAAAAAGGGGGGGGCCAAAGAGAGAGUGAUAAUAAGAUAGAUAUAUUGUGUUAAAAACUGUGCUGUGUUGAGCGUGACUUAAGAAGAAAAAUAGAUAAGCGCAUCAUGUACAACUACCGUCCUAUGAAAUUUUUUUUUUACCUUUUUUAAGGUUGCAAAAUCUCUGCAUGAGAUUUGUUAACAGGAGAUCAAAAUCAAAAAGAGAUUCAACCUUGGAAAAUGAAGGAACAAAUUUAGAUAUGAGAUUAAUACAUAACUUUACCUUUAUAAAGAAGUGCGGUUUUUAUUGGUAAAAAUAAUGAGUUAUACAAAAUAUUUAGGCUCCAUUUGAAACUCUGAUACCACGUUUGGUUGAAGAAUAAAGGGGACCUUUGUUCCCCAAUCAACAAUUUUUAAGGGUGGGAACAGAAGCGGGAACAGUUAUUCCUACUCAAAUUUAAAUUUGUAUAUUUUUCAUAUGUAAAUUUGAUCUUAAAUUUAAAAUUUAAAAUUUAAAAUUUUAAAAGUUAAGAUUUUAAAUUUUAAAUUUUAAAUUUUAAAUUUUAAAUUCGAGUUUUAAAAUUUAAAAGUUAAAAUUUUUAAAAAUUUAAAUAUAAAAUUUAAAAAUAUAAAUUCAAAUAUAAUGAGAAAGUAUAAGUAAGAAUUUUUUAUUCAUCUAUCUACUAUUUUUCUUAUUGCAUCUUUUCUAUUCAAAUGCUUUUUUUUUAUUUCCAACAACAACCUAAUUUUCAUCCAAAUACAAAAUUAAUUUAGUUCUCGCUUAUACCUAAACCUGUAUCUAUCACUGGAAUAAAUAAUUCUUACUUAUACCAAAACCAAACGAAGCCUCAAGAAAUGCAUUACAUGUAAUGAAAAAAUCCGAAAAAUAUUAUAUUUGUUUUGUGUUGUAAUAUUACAUUCACGUGCUACAAUAAAUCUCAUUUACUCUAAAUUUUUUGCAGUCUCAUUGAAAAGCAAAUAUAUAUAUAUAUAUUAAUACUGUUUUAUCCAAUAAUAUUAAAUAAUUUUCAAUAUCAACUAGAAUCCUUAGAAAUGCUUAGUAAAUUUAGAAGUGCUUAAUAUCGAAGUGUUGUUAAAAGAUAUGCUUAGCGAACUACAACAACUAUGUAUCGAGAAUUUAAAAAAAAAAAAAAGAUUUUUUAUUUUUUAUUUUUAGUAAAAGUGUAUAAUAAGAUAGAUUAUAGACAACUGAAGAUGGUUUAUCUUUUACUACAUCAAAAUGUGAUUGUUUUUUUUUGGAUGAUACGUCCCAAAUGAGGCUUUUCUUGCUUUAUCUUUUUAAUUUAACUCUUUUUUUUUUUUUUUGAGAGAGAGAUAGGUAACAUGCUACCUGGUUCGUUUAUUUCAUUUAGAAAUAAACUUAGCUGGAAAUGUGAAUAAAUUAGGAUUCGAACUUGGGUCUUAGAUAUCAACCACCAAAUUCUUUACCAUUUGCUCUAGGGACGGCGGUUCUGAUUCAUCUUAUUAAUGAAUGAAACAGAUAGCUUAUUAUAUUUUUUUCGGAAAAAAAAAAAAACACCCACACAAAAAACGACAAACUUUAGAGACAUUGGGGGCAAAAUUGUAAAUUCGAAUCAAAAGUGUCACAACCCCUCACAUGCGCAGUUAAUAAAAGUUAGGACUAGGAGAGGAGAGGGGCGCCGUUCAUGAGGCCACAUGGAAGCUCCACACCGUCCAAAACCGAGGUCACUUUUCUAUUUACUUUUUAAAGAAAAAAAAAUUGUUUUCUUUUAUUUAUUUAUUUAACAAAGAAAACAAAGGAGCUAGCAAAAACACUAUUUAAAUAAACACGCAUGGCGGCCCCUUACUAUACAUUACUUUGAAAUUGGUCCUUCUUUUUAAUUAACUUGUUUUAACUUUGGAUUUUUUAAAAUUAAGUAACUUUACCCAAAUAAAUUAGAAAUUUUAUCAAAUUUAUCGAUAAUCUCAUCAAAUCUAAUAUUAUUAAAUUAUUUUAGGGGGAAUAAUUAAAAUUGAUAUAUUUAACAACUAUUAACUAAUUGAGCCAUAAAAAAAAUUUUUAACUUAAAAGAAAGGAUAAACUUCAAAUAUUACUAGUGUGGUUUCGCACUUUCUUACUUUAGUAUUAUGUGGUUUAAAAUGUAUCAGUUUAAUAUCCUGUGGUUUCACUUUUCUCUUUUCGUCAGCUUUUUCGUUAACAUUUUGUUAAAUUAUAUACAAAAUACUUCAAAUAUCCUACCUAAGUUUAUCGAAUAUUCACUUUAAUACCUUUUAGUUUUAACUCUGUCACUGAUUUAACGAAAAAAAUUAGUAAAGGAGAUAAUAAAAAGAGAAAAAUGAAACCACUGUGUACUAAAUUGAUACACUUUAAACCAAAGGGUACUAAAAUAAAAAAGUAUAAAACCACAGGGGGUGGUAUUUGAAGUAUACUUCUCUCCCAACAUUUUUCUUUUGAGAGAUAGAUAGCACGCUACCCGCUUCAUUUAUUUCAUUUAAAAAUAAACUUAGCUGGAAAUGUGAAGCAAUUAGGAUUCGAACUUGGGUCUCGAAUACCAACCAUCAAGCCUUUUGCCACUUGUCGGUAAUAUUACCCUGUAUAUAUUGUCAAUAUGCCGACAGUCUGCCGUAGCUGAUUAAUAUAAAAGAUUUUAAUGGCACUCUAAAAUAUCAUGCUAGAGUAUACCAAUACAUUACUGAAAAGUAAAGAGAAGGGCCUAUUUCAGAAAAAUGCCUAAAGUUGAGGGGUUCUGCGUUCUUUUCUGUCUUUUUUGGCUGUAUCUUUUCUAAUAAGAGUAAAUAAUUAAAGGGGGAGGAUCUCUCGGGAUCACGUGGUCUUAUCGAGCUGUCGCGUUCGCCAGCUCAUGCGCCCGUCCCCGUCCUCUUCGCGCUUACGUACACUGCUCAUGAAUAACAAACCCUAAAGCCAGUCAACGUCCGGUCAACGGUCCAUGAGAAUUAAUUUGGUCACAAGUGAUUUUUUAGAAAACCAUCUCUCUAUCUCCUAGACCGGGUCUAUCACCCCAUCCCUGUACCUGACUCGUCGACAUUGCAUGGCUUAAAUGGCUCAAGAGAGCGUGGCUUCGAGCUUCUCAGCGAGUUCUCAUUAGUAUAAUUUAAUAAAUCGUAAAUGAUUUACGCUACGUUUGAUUUUUAACAGCGAAUUGGUAGAGCGAACUUAGAGGAACCUAUAAAAAAAAGUUCGUCCAUCUUUAAUUUUCAGGGGUUCCUAAAAGAGAACGAAUGAUUAAUUGUCCCCAAAAAAGUACAUGCAGUACUAAACAUAUUUAAGUUUUACAACUGGAUAUAGUGCUAAGACUAGUCCUCACAAGUUUGCUAUUGCAUGUUUAGCGAAAUACUCCAUGAGUACAUAGAACUAUUAAGAAAAGCAUUAUGGUUAAAUCAUUGAUCCCAAUUAUUUUUGGAUGUCACAGUCAAACGUAAAAUUUUAUAUCUACUUUUGCGACAAUAAUUAAAGCCAUCUUAUUUUAUGUUCAUGGCUAGUUUUACUAGAGACGGCUACAACUAUGAGUAAAAACAAUGACUGAACCAGACUCAUUUCUAGGCCAUUAUAACAUAGUAGACCUAGUCUACACAGUAAUUUCUCCUUAUAAAUUUCUUAUAUAUAUAUAUAUAUACACGUGGGCUGCUUUUUAAAGAAAGUUUUUUAAUCUACAUUACUAUGAAUCGUAAACGCUAAUGAACACUAUAAAGCCAACCGACCGUCUCUAGAGUAAGUAGCAAAGGGCUUGGUGGUUGGUACCCGAGACCCAAGUUCGAAUCCUAAUUGAUUCACAUUUCUAGCUAAGUUUAUUUCUAAAUGAAAUAAACGAAACGGAUAGUUUGCUACCUAUUUCUCAAAAAAAAAAAAAAAAACUCUAUAAGGCCAAUCAGAAGAAGAUGAUGUAUUUAUCACACUUUAAAUAUAUAAAAGCACGAUGCUUACGAAUUUAACUGUGGUUCGAUUCGAUUUAAUCUCCGCCACUUACGGGACAAGAUGCUGGAACUGUUUCAGCUUACAACUCUAUUCCAACAUGUCACAUCUCUCUCUAACUCUAUUCUAAUACGUGUCCCUNCUUACAACUCUAUUCCAACAUGUCACAUCUCUCUCUCUCUCUAUUCCAAUACAUGUCACCUACCUCUCUCUCUCUCUCUCUCUCUCUCUCUAGCUCUAUUUCCAUGCACGUACGCUCCAUUAACAUAGCGUUAGCAGAUCCAGAAGCUUAUAAUAAGUCCCGAAUCUACGCCACGAAAGCUACUACGUACCCAACAAAGUUCUCAAUUUCCUUGUACGUACGUGUAAUUGCAUUCCCCACAAAGGGCCCAAAUCAUGUGCAAAUCCCUGCUACACGAAACAGGAAAACCCACCACCGUGUACGCAUCCCCGUGCGAGACACGUGUCACCGUCUCAGACUCCACUUGUACCAAAAUACAACCCCCCUACGCACGUGUGUGCACUGGCUCCAACAUGAAUCAAUUCUAUUUGUAUUUACUUUCGCAUAGGAGACAUUGUUAUUACUGGGGAGGAGUCGUACAAUUAAUUCUACGAAACAUAUAUCCGAAAUAAUAAUGGAGGCAUUUAAUGAUCGAAAAUGUAAUUACCAAAUCAAGUUUAAGUUAGUAAUCGCAAAAAAAUUAUGGUACAAUUGAUCAAUCAUUAGUGACAAUGCCGCUCUAAUUGAUAAGAAAAGUUCAUUAACAAUUUAACCUGGCCAGCUCGCAUUUAUGGUGAAUCCAAAUGAAUCAUUUAUAUGAAUAUUGCUCUAACCAUAUUUAUAUUGAUUUGGUUUGAGAUUCAAUGUAUGCUGCAGCUCUAUAUCUAAUUGUUUAUUCGAUAAAAUACACUCUAACUAAUUAAGAUCAAUUAUUAUUUGAAUAGUGUACAUUUUGCCUCAAUAGAAGAGACGCUAGUGAGAUCAAUGGUCGUAAUCAGAAGCUCACUUUGAACUGCUCAUUCUACGUACUCUAAUAAUUUUAGAGAUAAUCCGAUAUGGAAUAAAAAUUAGCUAUAGAUUUUGCCUAAAACAGGAUGAAUGAUCAUAUUGGAUCUUUAAACAUCAUUAAUUAAUUGUUUUAACAAAUUAUUAACUGGCAUUAAUUGAUCCAUAAGCCACGCACAUCUGAAUAUUACUACAACACAUAAUUAAUUUGCACCGACACCUCACUCUUUCCUGUGUUUGGGGACCACUGUGCACACGCUGAGUUGAUCCAAUCCAAUUUGACUCCUCUUCCUCUACAUGAUUUUAAUCCACAUUUAUCCAGCACACUGUGACGCACACAAGCUAUAUUCAAUGUUACGAUAUUUAAUAAACAAAUGCAUACAUAUUAUUAGUAACAAUAUACGACAGAUCUAGAUGCCCCGGCACAGUCGUAAGGCGUUAUUGCCUGCACCCGGUGCCAUGCACCACUGCUCAUUCUACGAUUCGGCGGUUCUGCCAUCUUUUCAUCAUUUUGAAAUUCAAUCGUGUAAUUUAGGCUAAAGUUUGGGAAAUUGAAUACGCGCGUGCUCCGAUACAGGCUUCUUGGGGGCCGGAUUUAAUUAACAGCAUAUAUGGAUCCUUAAAUUCAAUGGCAGAUCUAAGUAGAAGCAUUAGAAUGUAAUAAUUUGGUUAAGCGUGGGGAUCUGCGGGGCUCAACGUACACAAUUACAAUGACAAGAAAUAUUUUUCUGAAGCUUUUUGUUACAAUUGAUUUUCGUCGAAAUUUGUGACAGCAUAUAUAUCGUUUGUGGCUAAUUAACAAUCACCACUGCAAUAGAGGACCCCAAUGAUAGGAUAAAAAGAUGGCUCAGUUGUAUGGAUGCACCAGGUCCAGUGAAUUGUUCCCGCUACUCAAACCCACACUCAACCACUACAUGCCAUGCAUCUCUCACCACCCUUUUUAAUCCUCCUCUCACCUCCUCUCCCCCUUCUUUAUAUAUACACGAACUAACCCCUCCUCGCCAUAGGAAAAAACAAACACACACACACAGAGACACACACACACACACACACACAAGCCCCAUUCAUCCACCAAAGAGGUAGAAUUUAGCGAAUGGCGUGCAUCAACAUGUUCAACCCGGACCACCAGGGCCUGUGCCCGCCGCCGCUGCCGCCGAUCAGCCCGCGAAUUUCCUUCUCCAGUGACUUUGCGGUGGAACCGCCGCCUUCGAACCGGGCGCCGGCAGGGCCGGCCGAUCCGGACUUCGAAUUCUCCGUCGGCAGCCACCCGAUGAUGGCCGCCGACCAGCUCUUCUUCAAGGGCCGGAUCCUCCCCCUCAAGGAGAGCCCGCAAAGCGGAUCCAUGGCUCCGAGGCCGAUGACGACGCUGCGCGAGGAGCUGCAGGCCCACGACGACGACUGCCGGCCCGGCCCCAAGGGCUCCGUCCGCUGGAAGGAGCUCCUCGGGUUCAAGAAGCCGGCCCAUCAUUCCACGCUGUACAAGAAGGGCGGUGCCAGCGUGCCCGAGAAUUAUCCUGCCAAGUACAUCGAGGAGGUCUGUUCUUCUCCUAAAAGCUAAUUUAAUUAAAAGGCCGCUGAUGUACUGGCAUAUAUAUGUGCAUUUUCAAAGUGCUAUUUACUCUGAUGCCUGAAAAGACGCAGACAUGCAUUAUGAUCACUUAAUUUAUAUUGAGUAGUUUAGGUGAUUUACUCUAAUUUCUAAAAUAUUAAUUAAUGCAGGAGGUACCAAGUGAUGGAGGGAUGUGAGAACGAAGGUGCCAUGACAAGAACAUGGCACAUGAUACUCAGUUAAGUUAGCAAUGAAAGGACAAGGCAUAGUAAUGGUGGUAGUGAUGCUUCCUUUUUGUUGUUCAUCAUCUACUUGUUGAUGUUUGUAUGUGGUUGGAGGAAGUGAAUGGGGUGUGUAGGGACUGGAACUAAAGGGAAAGCUCUCUCUCUCUCUCUCUUUCUUUUUUUUUCUUUUUUGGAGUUAAGGAUGCUUGGAUGUUGGUAGAUGGUGGUACUAUUAACUCUCUCUCUCUCUCUCUCUCUCUCUCUCUCUGUAAUGAAGACCAAUUAAUUGUAUUUUUCCCACAGGGUGGAUUUUGUAUUUGAGCUUCUUCCCAUGUGGUUUCUCCUCCUCAUAUAAUUAAUGCAAUAAUGAUAGUAAUAAUUAUACUGGUUGGGGCUGGGAAAUUAAUAUGGUAUGAUAACUCUUCUAUACAGAUGUGUAGAGAGAGAGAGAGAGAGAGAGAGAGAGAGAGAGUACUUUUAUGAGAUCAUCAAUGUUGAAUUGGGCUUUUUGUGGUAGGGAACAGUGCUCCUUUUAUAUUUCAUGGCUGAGACUUGAGAGGUGGGGAAAAGGGAGAGAGACAAAGGGACAGUGUGUGAGGGAGUUUUGUACAUUUUGAUCUUUGGUGUUUCUCAUCAUCAAUGCAAGGGCUCAUUUAUGCUCUACUCAGUUAUUGUCCCUCUCUUUCCUCCUCCUCUCCACUCCUCUCCGAAAAGGACAAAUAAAACGAUCAAUCCAAAGCUUUUUUUUUCUUAAAAAAAAAAAGAAAAAAUGAUGAUAAUGUGAAUUCAAAAUGUAAAACUUUCACCUCCUUUUACGGGAUUUACGGAAACUUCGGCUUAGUGGCUAUACAUUUUGCACUAGAAACUAGCUACCACUUCUUUUACUCUACAUUAAUUAGGUUUAAUUAGGGUCUUUUUAUAUGAUGACCAUCCUAAUUUUAGGUUGUCUUUUGAGAGCAAUAAAUUUUGUUAAAGGACAACAAAUUUGUUUAUUAUGCUAUCAGUUAGCUUGCAUAGGACAAGCUUAGUACGCCAUAGGUUGGACUAGUCAAAGUCUUAAUUCAUAUGUGUAUUUAUUUAAGCAACAAGGAACCAAGAAUAAUUUAUUUUAUGGGCCCUAAUUAAUGCCUCAAUACUUAACUAUCAAACAAUCACAUGAACUAUUAUAAAAUCCAUUUUAAAAAAAAAACAAAAAACGAAAAAACUUAUCUAUUGUAACAAUAAACCAUUUGACAAAUAAAAUGUUUCAAGUAGCAACAUCUUUCUAAUCAUGCCCAGCCUUCUAAAAUUUCUGGGAAAAUUUUUUGUAUCAGCCACAAAAAUGUCGUUUGUUCAUCGUAUUUUCACUUAACACAUUAGUACAAAACACUUUUAUAUCUUAUUAUUUUGUAGUUCUUAAUUAUUAAAAUAUAUUAUGUCUGCAAAAAAUAUAAUUGUUAUAUUCAUUUAGUUUACUCAAAACAGUUUCAAGGUAUAUAUCAUUUUAAUAAUGAAAUUCUAAUUUGUUAUAAAAUGUUAGAAAUCAAACUGCUAAAAAAAUUUAGGAACUAUGUAAGGUUUGAGUGAAAUUAAUGUACAAUGCCGAUCGAGCGUACUGAAGUUUGAGUAUUUAUCCUGUUUUUAAGUUUUCUCAAUUUCUCCAAAUCUAUUUUCUGAAAAAUUAUAUCCGAUGUUACUUUGCGAUUUUAGUGUUGCCAAGUAUUUUUCAUUCUUUUUUCUUUCUUUCUUUUUUUUUUUCUUUUGAGGAGGAGAUUAAUUUCCAACAAAAUUUUCAGAAAUUUCAUAAUAAAAUUUAAUUUUUGUGACAAUGGCAUAAUGGAUUGAGAAGGCCCGACAUAUAUAUUUGUUUGUUUCUGAAGUUUUAGUCGAUAUUAUGAUGAGCAGAUGCUAUAAUAUGUGGUCCACUAGAAUUAUUUAAUUAUACUAUGGACAAGUGUACUCCUACCAGUCGAUAUCCUUCUUGAGAUAUUUUUAUUUUUUACUUUUUUUAUUUUUUUAUUUUUUGUGUUCGUGUGUGUGUGCGCGUGUAAUGAGAACUCAACUCUAGUUGCUUUUGAUGGUUUCUGAUAUGAAGAUAAGAAUUACACUAUGAACUAUAAGCUGCCACAUUUAAAUUCAAGUUCGGUAUAAAUGUUCUCAUUUUCUCUCUUGGAUUUCAGAAAACUCAAUUACAAAACUUGUUUGGUGUUUUUCAUGGCAGAAUUCUGAAAAGUUUGGACAAAAAACAGUAAUUAGUCAUUCAGAUCAAAGUAAAAAACAAGUUCUUUGACUUAAAGAACAAAUACAGAAGAGCAGAGAUCUCCAUCGUAGUACUAACAGAUCUUGUACUAUAUCUCCACUACGGUUGCUGAAUCUUGCAAGCGAAGAACAAUGUUUGUGUACGAAAACUUCGUUUCCUAAGCGGCUGAAUUUUCUAUUUCAGUAGGACCCUCUCCGACUGGCCAAUUUGGUUCAGUGUCUGUUUUGCUGAUCCAAGAAAGAAAAAUGCAUGUUGAGUGAAAUUAUCUGUUGUGAUACACUUAGGAUGUUUCUGAUUUUAGAACAGCUUCGGCUUAUUUCGUAUAGCUUCCACAUAACUCAUAGUUUAAGAUGAAUUAUACUAGUUAGCUGCAGAAGUUAGUUAAGCAGGGAAGCAAAUGUUGAUGUAACCAUCUUUGCGAGUAUCUUAUUUUCAGUCAUGUUAAUCUGUGAGCAAGAUUCAGAACUUUGGAUACUUCUGUAUGUCAGUGUCUAAAGGCAACUGGAAUUUUUGGGUUGCUUAAUCUCUUAUUUUUCGUUGCUGAGAGGUACCGAGUGCAAGGCAUAAUUUCAGAGAUGUUGUAUGUGAAUGCAAUUUCAUUAUAAACUCUAGUAUCUUUUGUAGAUAUUUGUUAUUCAAUAUUUACUGUCGCUUCGAACGUAACAUUGGGUAUCCUUUCAUUCUGUCACUUUAAGUGUGUCCUGGAAAUUCCCUUUUCCUUUGAAAUUGCAUUCUGAUUACUUUCAUGUCUUGCUAUUGUUUUUCCGCCUUUUUUUCCUUCCAUUUUUUCUUUUUUUUAACUACACAGCUUUAAGUAUAGCUAUUCUUCGAGUUUUCAUCCGUAUAACAGCAAAUUUUAAGCUCUACAGUACUUGGUUUUUCCAUUCUUAUCUCUGAAAGUGCUUAUUUUCUUUGUGAAACUCAUGGAUUAGGCGUGUCUCAAGUAAUAGGAUCAAAUCUUCUCCCUCUUGUAGCUUGUAACAAAUUAAACAUGAAUGCGUGCCGACUUAACCCAGUGUCUGAUUUUCCUCAUAUAGGAGAUUCGCUCAAUCGGACAAAUAAGGAAAGGAAACUCGUAUAGAGACAAUAUGAUGGCAUUAACAUUGGCGACAACAGGUUCUGAUGAAAAGAAGUAAAGGGUCAAUUUAAAUUGGGAAUGAUGGUAGAUCAAAUACUCUCGAUUGAGUGGCGGUCAAGUAGACACUAAAGACAACUAAUUAAAUCGAAGAGUACGUAAAUGCAAGGAAGGUAUGUACAAGAAGAUUGAUCUAUCGAAUUACUUGUCGAAAGUUAAGGACACAAAGGUAAACAAACUAGUAUGAGGAAGCAUUGUUUAGUCCUAUACCCUUCAUUAAGAUCAACUACCUACGUUGUACAUUUGUAACAAUGAAUUCGGAUUAGCUGCUACAAGUCAUAUGACAGAAGAUCUGCUGUUUCCUUAUUGAUGUAAGUGGUUAAUUUGAUUUCCUGUCAUAAGAAUCAUGACUGUUGCAGCUAAAUUCCUGAUUUGCCAUGACGCAAGCAGUAAAGAUUUUCUGUAGGAUAGAGUUGUUAAUAGUUUUUGUUUAGUGUCCCAAAUAAUGAAUUUUCUAGUCAAUUGAUUGCUUUGAACUCGGAAUUUGCAGGUGUUACAAGGGGUUUCAAGUACAUUUAUAAAAGAAAAGCACAAUGAACACAAGGACCACUGUAGUAUUGCACCUUAAAAUGGACGGCGUAAUCAUCAAUUUAUCCCCCAAAUUGAAAAUUUGUUUUGCAUUAGACAUGAUAACAUCUCAAUUUAACGCGAAGACCACUGUCUGUCUUAUUGUAGGACUAGAGAUUUCUGCUGCUGGAUGGGUAGCCUAAAUAAUGAAGAAAGUGAUAAUUCCUGCGUAAAAUGUAUUAGAUGGUUUUUGCACUGAAAAAUGGAAAAUUAACAAACUUAAAAUGUUAUUUUAUUCCUACUGUAUUCUACAUCGUUUAUCUUGUGCAUUUCAAUUUCCAUUGUUUGUAGAUUUUCAAUAUUAACUUUUAUCGAUUCUGCAGAUUAAAUAAAGUGUUUACGCUGGAAUAUCAGUGCGUCAAAAAAAAGCGCGCUAUUUGAUCAAUUGAAAAAAAAAAAAAAUUCAAUUGUUUGGCAAAUCAUAAUACAAACUCUUGCAUACUUGAGUUCUUUCUGAUGUACAACUAAUUAUAAUAUCACAGAGUAAUUGUAAAUAAACAGUAUAGAAACAUCUUACUUCACGGUGUUUGUCAUGAUCAUAAGGUUCCUUUUCUUUGGAGCCAUGCUCAAUUUUUGUUGAAUCAUAGUCAAUUUAAUUAUUUAGUGAACUCAUUCUUGUGGAAUCACCAAACAGAUUAGUCAGUGGUAAUUAACUAAUAAUUCACCUUAUGAUCAAAUCCAAUAUCCUCUGAUUAUCAUCCACUCUGAACUAAACUCUACUGCACCAUUCCCCCAUGACACUUCUUAAUUUCAGGAACUAAAUGUAACACUCCACCUAACUUCUUACUAAUACAAACUUCCUCUGCAUUAGCUUCGGAAAGAAGCAUGCUUACAUCCUUAACCUCUCAUGCUCCAGUAUGAAGGGCCUCCAUCCGGAAGGAUCCGGUGCAUUGAACAUAUCGUAUUCCUGAAACGGACGGCUCUGAUGAGUAGGUCCAGAUGCAGCAGUGUAUGGCUUCAUGAUUGAAUUCUGACGAGUAGUUGCAAUCAAUGGUUGGUUGUGGAGGGGAUGGGGUGGCUCUUUAGCCAUUAAUUACUCCCACAAAUUGAGUUUAUUGCAGGAGGCCCCAGAUAUGUUAUCUUCACCUGCAGUGCCAACUGUUGCAUAGCUUUUCAAUGCCAAUGUUUGCUACUAUUCUGUGCACAGGGCAUUUAUUAGGAGGAUAUGUACAUUGUGGGGGGUAUUCAAUUAUUUUUGUCCUGAUAAUGCCAAGGCAUAUGUUGGUUCUUUAGCUCAUUCAAGGUGUGUACAGGUUUUUGAGUGGGUCAGGUUAGAUGUUGAUUAUAAACCUUGCAUCAGGUUACUGCUUUCGAGUUUGAUGCGCAGCAUAUAACUAAAUAACAUGUUUUAAUAGUAGAUCUAUUUAUAAUCAUGGCAUACGAUUUGAAGAAGGCAAUCAGGUAACAGUUGCGAAGAUAUCGAGUUCUUCGAUAUCAUGAGAGAGGAAUGAAAAUGAACUGAGUGAGCAAUAAUUGUUAUCUUUAAUAAUAAUCUAGUGACUCUAGUCCACUAUGCCGAACCACAUAAAUCUUCAUGUGCUAAACCCUUCUCUCAUUCGCAUCUUUCUUUCGUGUUGUUAUACCUCGCUGGUGCAUACUAAGGCCCUGUUUGUUUUGUCAAAAUAAGAUAUCCAAUGAUAGUUUAUUCCUAAUAAAAGUUUUCCUGUGUAAUUGAAAGUUAGUUGUUUGGUUUUUGCUCCUUAAAAAAAAAUAGUAUUAAUGAUUUAGUCGGAUGGUAUAUUUCACUUAGGAAGUAAUUCAUCUUAUUUCAAAUGAAUAAUUUGCAAGUGGAAUACAGUAUUUAUUCAAAACAUUCGAUCACUCUCCUUAUCUACUAAAUAUUACAUGCUUCUUGAAUAAAUCAAAAGAAUAUACCAAAUAAAAUAUUCAUACAUCCAAAAAUGGCUUAAGUAAUUUCGAAAUUGCCACCGGUACAUUCUAUGGUCAUUAUUGCAGGAUUUAGUGAAGAUCCUUCGGAUCCGUUGGUUGUCAGAACAAAGUAUCUGGUGAUAUCUUUUGUUCGUUUGGAAUCUUUUCAUGUUUUUUCAGGGGAGUUUAAUGUUUUCCAACUGUGAAGUCCUCAUAAUUCUUAUUCUCAGCAUAGAAGAUCUUCAAGGUGAUUUAUUAUAAAUAUCUUUCAUUUUCACUUACAAGAUAUUCAUGCAUCCAAAUAAGUUCUUAUAUUUAUCAUAUUUAUUCAAUCAGAACACGAAAACAGAGUAUUUGGACAAAUUUCCUUGUUGUUUUUAAGCUGAAAAAUGAGCUCCUUCUACAGGUUAUUUUUAUGUCCAUGGUGGGUGCCUUUUGUUUUACUUAAAACUAAAAAGCAUAUGAAGUGUACACUAAUUCAAUCCGGGAGAAUGGAUCCCAAAAUGCUACAGAUGUGUAGGUGAAGCAUCCUUCUUUUGUGAGACAGGUUAAUUUUGGGUGGACAUGAUCAAACAUGGUACUCAAUUGUGACCACUAAUGAAUCUUAGGAGGAUUAGAUCCCCAAAAGUGAACAGUUAAGAUGCCCUGUAUCUUUGACUUUCUAAGUGAUUUGACAUUUAAGCCCAUCUACAUGAAUACGAAAUCUUUGAUUGAAAAUAUUAUAUAGUAAUUAAGUUUCACCAGUGAUGAUAAUAUAUAACUAAUAAUGUUCUGCAUAAAGCUUACAUAAAAAGGUGGUUAAGAUAUACUUAUUAAAGUGAUGCAAAUUGCCUGUAAAUUCCAAAGCCACAUAUUCCAUUUAGCUGUGCACAGUACUAAUCAAUGAGCUAUAAAUAAUGCUUUCUUGGUUUUCAUAGUCUAAAGCAAUUAAAUUCAUGGAUCUAUGGGCCUCUGAACUUAGACCAAUUUACUUCGCCAUCUGAUCCAAUGUUAUCACUUAUCAGAUUAAUAAGCUUCUCGUUUACCAUUAGGGGGGUCAUUUUGGUCCACGGCUUGUAAUAUUUCGAUAAUAAAUCCUCAAUAUUAUCUAUUGAAAAUAUUCAAAUUAUUAUUUUUCAACUCAAGUUCGUAGCUGUAAAAGGUAUUAAUGAAAUAAUAAAAUCAUUGUAGAUUCGUAGGUGAUACAUGUUCUAAAUUAUUAUAGAUUAGAAAAUAUUGUUAGUUUCAUACUUGAUUUGAAUCAUUGGCAACUCAUUAAUAAGAAUAUACUAGUUCUAACAACAUCGAUCGCAACCUAAGUGACUUGAUAAGUAAAAGCUUGUGAUUCCAAAUAUAAAAUAUAUAGCUUGUGUUGGAUCAAUCAUUAGUUUUAGUGAUUGAUCCAACACAAGCAGAUUUGGUUCUUUCUUUGGAUUGGAUUGAUUUUGCAAUACACUCCAAUUAAAGGAGUUCCUCAGCUUUAUGGCUCGUUGCUGUCACGUGGGCCCAGUUGCUUUAGCUUGCAACAAGAGUUAAGUGUCUCUAGUAAAUAAUUAAAGUACGUACUCAAUAGAAGAAAAUUUGGAACCUUCUAUCUUUUAGUGUGACCCUAAAAAUGAGAUUUCGAUUAUUACAAGUAGAAGUUUCAAUUUCGUAUUUCUAAUUAUAAUGCAUAGAGUAACUACUAAAAAGAUUAUCAAAUAGUGUUUCUUCUAAUCGCACUAUUACAGAAUAUAUCUAAUAGGACGCCAAAAUAAACUUAUAUCUACUUUGGGCAAGCUUAAAAGUAAUUUUUUUUUCAUGUGAAAUUUAUACUUCCAUCUUCCUGACUCAAUAUGUAACAUGUUGGCAAAAGUUAUAAGAGAACAAAAAAAAAACAAUGUGUGCCAAAAAUUCCACAUAUCAUAGCAGCAAAAUCCCUCUAGAUUAUAGUAAUAAAAAAAAAGGAAAAUGAAGAAUUAAUUCUUUAAACUUAAUUGAAGUUACAACAUAUUUUUCAUAGCCUUUUUUUUUUUGCUUUUUUGAGUUGAUGUUCUUCACAGUUUCCAUUAACUAUGAAACUCCGAGAAAAAAUAAAGUAUAUAUGUCUCUGCAAAACGUAAAUGAAACUUGGAAAUACAAAACUCAUUCUGCACACCGUUUAAUUAAUUCACACUUAAUUGUUAACAAUUAUACCACAUGAUAUAAAUCUCCCGAAUUUCUACACACCAAAACAAAUCCCCAGUAAACUCCGAUCUCCUCAUCACCGUAAUUGGCAUUUGAAUUGCCGCAGCUGCAAUUCGGUCGUAAAUCGAAGUACCAAAAUUUGGAACGAAAAUAUCUUCAAAAAAAAAAAAAUUAAGUAUACAUUUAGAAUACGAGAACAAUAUAUAUUCGAUUUACGACCGAGCUGUAAUUACGUCAAUCCAAAACACCUGCAUAUAUGUAUAAAUAUAAAUAAAUAUAUGUAUAUUUUUUUUAUUUUUAAUUUCUCAUGCUUUUUUUGCGGCGGCGAUGGAGUUCUUACAGUGGGCGAUGGCGGCCUGGAUGGCGCUCUGGAGCUCCUCCAUGGUGCUCUCGUCGGACGACGACAUGUUCAGCGACGUGGCUGAGAGGUGGCCGCUGUUGGUGGGCGACGUCCGCAUCGACGCGGGCGCCGAGAGCUGGCCGCCGGGGCGCCUCUUCUUGCGCCACGAGUGCUCCUUGUCCCUCGGGUUCAGGUGCCCGGAGAAGGAGUGCGGGCGCUGCCCGCGGCGCAGGUCGCGCCUCCGGUCCUUGUCCCCGGACAUGAACACGCGUAUGGGCUCCACCAUGCACUUCCUCAGCAGCCGGCCCACGUCGAACACCUUGUGUUUCCUGUCCUUCUUGCUUUUGUCCGCCUCCUCCUCGCCCAGCUUCUUCGGCUUGCCGAGGCCGAACAAGGAGGACAGGGACUUGGGCUUGGAGGGCUUCUCUUUGUUGUCGACGGCGUCGACGUUGUUGUUGUGGGUUGUUGUCGUCGUCGUCGUCGUUAUUGUUGUAGUAGCCGUUGUAAUUGUAGUGGCAGUGGUGGUGGCGGUGUGGGUGGAGGGGAGGGAGUAUUGGAGGGGGAGGAGGUGGCCGUGGAGGAAGAUGUCGUCGGCGGGGAAUAAGUCGAGGGAUGCGGUGGUGGCGGCGGAGAGAGGAGGAGGAGGAGGAGGAGGAGGAGGAGAAGGAGGUGAGGGGAUGAGGGAGAUGGUGAAGGAGAAGUCGUGGGAGGGGGAGGUGGUGGAGGAAGGGGGAGGGGGUGGAGGGGGGAGGCGCUCGGGUUUUGUGUUGUGGUUGUGGUUGUGGUGGUCUCUUCUUUCUCUCUCCCUNAUAUCGGAUGAUCUAGUUAGAGUAUUAUUUUUAAUCAAGCUUAUAAAUUUUAUUUUAUUUUUUGCUUAAUCUAAAUAUCAUGUGUCCACAUCCUUAUGCCAACCACGUACAUUCGUAGUUGUGAGAGAAAGGGAUGAGAGAGAGAGAGAGAGAGAGAGAGAGAGAGAGAUGUAAAGUAAGUGAUUUUAGGUUAGAGGAAUAGAGCCGGGUUUGUGGAGAAGUACUAAUCGUAUCGUAGUAGGAUUUAGCGUGUUGCGUUGCUCGUGUACGUUCCCGAUUAUGAUUCAAGGGACAUUUGAGAGAGAUGUUGCUUUGGAAUGAGAACAAAAUAGGAAGGGGAAGGGAGAGGGAGAGGGAGAGGGAGAGGUACCUGAAUGUGUUCGAGGUUGAUUCCCUCUCUCUUUCUUCUCUGGUGGUGUUGGUGUUGGUGUUGGUGUUGGUGUUGUGUUUUGGGCUCGCGGAGGGGGGUAUAUAUUGCUCUCGUGGUGUGUUACACUAAUCAACAGAUGCAUCAGAGUGUAGGCCAUAAUUUUACUAUAGAGAGAGAGAUAUGGUGGGAGGGAUUUAGUUCAAAUUUAGAGAGAAAUUAAGUACUCUUAAAAAGAAUAAUUUCCUGAUCCCUUGAGUCUAACCCAAUGUAGGCACAAUUAACAAUUGUGCUUAAAAAGAUGAUGACAAAAGAACUCUCCAAAUCCAAUCCCCCCUUGCUUUUAUAUAUUAAUUAAUUGACCCAGUUGUGUUUAAGUGAUCUCAUUGGAGCUAGGAAGAGUUACAAACCAAUUAGUUUCAAGUUCCCAAAAGUCAGCCUAUUGGACUUCAAUUGGAAAAUCAAAUUAUUUUUACUUAAUUAAUUCUCGCUCAAUGCUAAUUAAAAAUGUGCACUCAAUCUCUUUGCUUAUUGACUUUUUGUAUUUACAAGAAACAUUUUGUUUUCCAAACAUAUCCAUGAAUGCUAUCUCUACUGCUCACCAUAUUCAAGGUCUGGCGAAAGAGUGGACCGAUUUUUGCAGAGUAGGGUGACGUUGGUUCUGCUACUCCCUUUGGUUCGGACAAAUGUUUUUGCUUCUUCUUUUUCGCUCUUUUUUUUCUAACCCCAUUCUUCUUCGUUUUGUCUUUCUGAGGCCCUAGCUGCUUCAUUCUAUAUAACUAAGUUCAUUUACCUAAUGAAUGAAAUAGCUAGCCUUUCUCUCUCUCUCAAAAAAAAAAAAGAAACAUUUUUUUUGCUUGCUUGUAAAUUUUGCUUGGUACUAAAUGGUUUUGCACCCAAAGAUUCAUGCAUGGUUUUACUUCCAAAAUUUAAUUAAUUGUUUAAAUUUCCUCAUGUUCAUGCAUGGUUUAUAAUAUUUCCUCAAAUUUAUUUAAUCGCAUACCACCCGAGCCAUUAUCAAGCCAGGUUGGUGAGACAACCGUGGUGGGGUUCUUUCUUUUUUUUUUUUUCCUCUCAUUUUUGCCCCUUUUUUUUCUCGCAUAAAAUCAACGUCAUUGCCUAGUCGACAACUUUUUUAGUUUUUUUCUAUCAAAUUAAUCUCUCUAAUAAAUUUAGUAUAAGAACGUAUUCUGUACUGACGAUUCUGUUAGGUUGUGAAUUUGAUUCGAACUUUCCACAUUAUUGAGAACUACGCAUAAAACUAUUAAUAUAGAAAACACCCAAACGAAAUGCAUGCCAUAUUGCUUUUUUGUUGAUUUUGUGGCGAAAACUUUUUCUCUAGCUUAUUUUUAUUAUUUAUGGUUAUGUUUAAAACUUAUCUAAUUAUUACGAAAUCACAUGAUAAACUUUUUAAUCUAUGCAUCUAAUUAAGACAAGUUAAUUAGUAGCACGAGUGUGUUAAUUAAUUAGCUAAAGAUGAUCUUCUAAAAGAGAAGUUUUAUUAUUUAAUUAUUUGUUUAUUUAAUUUCUUUGAGAAAAAGGGAAAAAAAGAAAUGAACAUGAACUAAAUCUAAGCCGUCCCCACGUCCACAUGGGAACGAGAUAUUCUCCUUCCAUGGUACGACCAUUUUUUUGUUCCUUAGCACAUAAUGCAUGUCCCAUGGUCCCUCCCCUGUUUAAUUAGCUUAAUUCCCAUUAAUUAAUUAAUUAACAAGGUAUAUGUGCUUUUUUAUUAUUUGUUUAAUUACUGAUUAGCUUAUAAUGCGUUCUUGUCUGAUACAAAAUAAGGUGUUUCUCAAAAAACAAAAAAGAGAUAAAAAAAAAAAACACCAAGGUUUAUAUAUAUAUUUUUUCUGUUAUUACCAAAGUGAUUUAUAGCUUGUAAAAAAUAUAAACAAAAAUUGUUUAUAUUGUCUUUUAUAGUUUUUAUUUACUUAUUUUCGUUCUAACAAAAUAUAAUUAACUUUGAUGGUUCUCUCCAAUUUAUUAUUAUUAUGUUUUUAAAAAAUACAUGUUUCUCUAUUUAAUCAGGUAACGCUUAGUAUUUGAUACUACUCCUUUUGGAAAAAAAAAAAGAAAAAAAAGCAUAAAAAAAGACACUUGACACGCAUUUGAAUAUGGACAAAUCCAAAAUCGAAUUAUCACAAGAGCAUAUGUGCUCGUGCGCACGUGCGUGUGAUUGCGAGAGAAAAAGAGAGAAAGCACUUCGGAUAGCUGCUGCAAAGGAAUUUGACAAAAAAAACACUGUUGAAGAAAAUUUUUUUUUUUUUAAAUAAUGAGAUUGUUUAAUUCAACAAAUGUUUACUUUGGAGUUCCUAAUUUUUAUUUUCUGAGUCGAGCGAAAAACUUUCUAGAGGUCUACGGCGGAAGCGCAGGGCUUAAACUUGUAGAGCUAGGAGUGCAAUCAGUCUAAUAUUAUUUGAUAUUUGAUGAAACUAUAUUCGCAUAUAUAUAUAUAUAUAUAUAGAGUAGGGCUAGAAUACUUGUAAAAGUAUCAUGGGGGUGAUACUUUUUAAACACUAAAAAACUAUAGUAAGCCGAUCACUAGCUUCCCCGAGUUUUAGUUAUUAAAAUUACCAGCAUCACUCGGCAAACGUUAAAAUUGCUAUAUCUUUAUAAGUUUAGUACACUUUAAAACUAUCUUUUAAAAAAUAUGAUAUAUUUUGUUCUAAUUAUAGAAACUAGUCUUUAAAAUUACAGGAUAGCAGUGUAAAACAUUUUAAAAAUAAAAAUCGGUAACUAAAACUAAAGGAAACUAGUGUUCCGUUUACUAUAGCUUUUUAGUGUUUUAAAUAAAAGAUCUAGGAAGUUUAUGAGAUCUAGUUCAGAUUACCUCGGCUAACAGCUAAGCUUUUAGGGUUAUAGCUUUUGCUGAAUUUUUAUGCUUCCUGAGACAGGAAAGCCUUCGUAUAGUCGGAGUGAGACUAUCGAAUAACUCGUUAGAUAAAGCAUAUAUAUUAAGAUAAUGUAAUAAAUAUCCAUUGAAACAGAAAUAUAAAUAAAAAUGUUUUAAAAUAACGAUUUCAGAUAGGGUUUAUUGAUCGGAUAAACUCUCAUGUUUUAUAUCAUUCUAUAAAUUACGUUAUAAAAGAGAAUACGUAUCCCGUUAAUUAUGUUCUCCAUUUCACGUCCCUCAAAAGAUAUAAACUCGGAUUUUUUUAACUUCGUUACUUCUAUAUAGUACAUGGAACCCCCCUUUUUUUAAACUUAAUGUGAAAUGAUAUAAAAUGAAAACAUAAUAAAAAUAAACGAUAUAAUCUCAGGCCGAUGAUACGAUAGCUAUCGUACCUCGCGAAGCACGAUGUUUCAACAAAAGCUACUACGCCGAAGGUUUAGCUGCUAGUCGAGGCAAUUUGAACUAGAUGUGAUAACUUUCAUAAACCUUUGAUUUAAAGUCUAAAAAAGCUAUAGUAAACUGAUCACUAGUUUUCUAGAGUUUUAACUGUUAAAAUUACCGGCUACACCACACAAAACUCAAAUUGCCACAUUUUGUUAGGUUUACGCUACUUUUAAAAUAUCUUUUAAGAAAAGUGAUAAAUCUCAUUCUAGUCAUAUAAACUAGAACUUAAAUUUAGAAAAUAGUAGUAAAAAAUACUCUAAAAAUAAAAGUCGGUAAGUUAAAAUCUGAUGAACAAACUAUCCAUUUACUAUAGCUUUUUAAUACUUUAAAUUAAAGAUUUAUGAAAGUUAUCAUAUCUAGUUCAGAUUACCUCGGCUAGCAGCUAAACUUUCGGCGUAGUAGCUUUUGUUAAACCAUCGUACCUCGGGAGGCACGAUGGCUAUCAUAUCAUUGGAUCAAUAUAUAUAUAUAUAUAUAUAUAUAUAUAUAUAUAUCUCACUCCGAUGAUACGAUAAUCUUCGUGCCUCGGAAGGCAUGAAGGUCGAGCAAAAGCUACAACGCUAAAAGCUUAGCAGCUAGCCGAGACAAUUUGAACUAGAUCUCAUAAACUUCAUGGAUCUUUUAUUUAAAAUACUAAAAUGCUAUAGUAAACGGAUCACUUGCUUCCCCGAGUUUUAGUUGCCGACUUUUAUUUAUAGAAUGUUUUACAUUAUUAUACUGUAAUUUUAAAAUUUAGUUUUUAUAACUAGAACAAAAUAUAUCAUAUUUUUUAAAAGAUAGUUUUAAAGUGCACUAAACCUAUAUAGAUGUGGCAAUUUGAACGUUUGCCGAGUGAUGCCGGUAACUUUAAACAACUAAAACUCGGGUAAAUUAGCGAUCCGUUUACUAUAGUUUUUUAUUAUUUUAAAUAAAAGACCCAUGAGAUUUAUGAGAUCUAGUUCAAAUUGCCUUGGCUAGCUGCUAAGCUUUCAGCGUUCUAGCUUUUGCUCUACCUUCGUGCCUUCCGAGGCAUGAAGGCUAUCGUAUCAUCGGAGUGAGAUAUAUAUAUAUAUAUAUAUAUAUAUAUAUAUAUAUAUAUAUCUUAAUCCGAUGAUAUGAUAGAUAUCAUGCCCUCGAGGGCAUGAUAUCACAACAAAAGCUAGAAUCCCGUAAGUUUAGUUGCUAGCUGUGGCAAUUUAUACUAGAUCCCAUAUACUUCAAGAAUCCUUAUUUUAAAAUCAAAAAAAGUUAUAGCAAAUGAAUCAUUUAUUUAAUACAGUUUUACCUGCCACCCUUAACUUAUGAGAAAUUUUAAAUUCGUAUCCUAAAAAUUUAAGUUCUAGUUCUUACAAUUAGAAUUAGAUAUAUCAAAUUUCAUAAAAGAUAGUUUUAAACUUCUUUAAAUCUAAGAAGAUGUGGCAAUUUGAGGUUUGAGCAGUAUUAUCGAUAACUUUUAACUGUUAAAACUUUACAAAACUAGUAUUUCAUUUGCUACAGCUUUUUUAUAUUUUAAAAUAAAGAUUUUUGAAAUUUAUCGGAUCUAGUCAAAAUUGCCACACCUAGCAACUAAACUUACGGACUUCUAGCUUUUGUUGUGAUAUCAUGCCCUCGAGGGCAAAUAUCAUCGGCCUGAGAUAUAUAUAUAUAUAUCUCUCUCUCUCUCUCUCUCUCUCUCUCUCUCUCAACUCGAUACUAUGAAAAUAUUCAUAGUGGUAGUACUACGAUAAUUCAAAAUUCGGUAACCUAGAUGAAAAACUAAUAAUUAUCGGGAACCUAAUUUGUGAUAAGGUGGAUGGUGGUGGAUGGUGGUGGAUGGUGGUAGUAGAGUUGGAGUGUAGAGAGGUAGGUUCCCGAUUUUUGUAUGNNNNNNNNNNNNNNNNNNNNNNNNNNNNNNNNNNNNNNNNNNNNNNNNNNNNNNNNNNNNNNNNNNNNNNNNNNNNNNNNNNNNNNNNNNNNNNNNNNNNNNNNNNNNNNNNNNNNNNNNNNNNNNNNNNNNNNNNNNNNNNNNNNNNNNNNNNNNNNNNNNNNNNNNNNNNNNNNNNNNNNNNNNNNNNNNNNNNNNNNNNNNNNNNNNNNNNNNNNNNNNNNNNNNNNNNNNNNNNNNNNNNNNNNNNNNNNNNNNNNNNNNNNNNNNNNNNNNNNNNNNNNNNNNNNNNNNNNNNNNNNNNNNNNNNNNNNNNNNNNNNNNNNNNNNNNNNNNNNNNNNNNNNNNNNNNNNNNNNNNNNNNNNNNNNNNNNNNNNNNNNNNNNNNNNNNNNNNNNNNNNNNNNNNNNNNNNNNNNNNNNNNNNNNNNNNNNNNNNNNNNNNNNNNNNNNNNNNNNNNNNNNNNNNNNNNNNNNNNNNNNNNNNNNNNNNNNNNNNNNNNNNNNNNNNNNNNNNNNNNNNNNNNNNNNNNNNNNNNNNNNNNNNNNNNNNNNNNNNNNNNNNNNNNNNNNNNNNNNNNNNNNNNNNNNNNNNNNNNNNNNNNNNNNNNNNNNNNNNNNNNNNNNNNNNNNNNNNNNNNNNNNNNNNNNNNNNNNNNNNNNNNNNNNNNNNNNNNNNNNNNNNNNNNNNNNNNNNNNNNNNNNNNNNNNNNNNNNNNNNNNNNNNNNNNNNNNNNNNNNNNNNNNNNNNNNNNNNNNNNNNNNNNNNNNNNNNNNNNNNNNNNNNNNNNNNNNNNNNNNNNNNNNNNNNNNNNNNNCCGUACUUUUGAAAGCAUAGGAGCCUAGCUCUAUAUAUAUAUAUAUAUAUAUAUAUAGAUAUAUAUAUAUAUAUAUAUAUAUAUAUAUCUCAGGCCGAUGAUACGAUAGCCAUCGUGCCUCGCGAGGCACGAUGGUUCAACAAAAGUUAAUACGCCGAAGGUUUAGCUGCUAGCCGAGGCAAUCUAAACUAGAUGUGAUAAUUUUCAUAAAUCUUUGAUUUAAAGUCUAAAAAAACUGUAGUAAACUGAUCACUAGGUUUCUAGAGUUUUAACUGUUAAAAUUGCCGGCUACACCACACAAACACUCAAAUUGCCAUAUUUUGUUAGGUUUACGCUACUUUUAAAAUAUCUUUUAAUAAAAGUGAUAAAUCUCAUUCUAGUUAUAUAGACUAGAAGAGAGAGAGAGAGAGAGAGAGAGAGAGAGAGAGAGAGAGAGAGGCUUCUAUACUUUCGAAAGUACGGAAUCUUCCCCACUCGUAAGUUGUUUUCGAUGAUGGAGCAUCCGAUUCGGCGAUCAAUUCCGUUAGACAUGAUCUGCGCUAUUGGAAUUAUUUAUAAACCAAAUUUUAUAAUUUUUUGACUUCAUUUACCUAGUGAAUGAGUAAGCUCAAAAUGAACGGCUAAAAAUAAAAAUCUCAAAAAAAAUAGUGAUAAAAGACUCAAAUUUCAAAUCGAAAGUAUUGUUUUUACUCUUGAUGUUAAAUAAAAUUUUCUAUUAAAGUUUCCUGUAAUUUGAAUUCUUGUACACCGUUGAACUUCAAAACGCACCACAUCGGCCGUUAAAAUAGUCAUUUUUGAGACUCUUUGAUCACUUGAUAAAUGAUGUCAAAAAAAUAUGAAAUUUGGUUUCUAAAUAGUUUUAAUUGUAUAGAUCAUGCCUAACGGAGCCAAUCGCCGAAUGGGAUGCUUCAUCAUAAAAAAUAACUUACAAGUACGAAAGCCUCCGUACUUUCAAAAGAAUAGGAUAUAUAUAUAUAUAUAUAUAUAUAGAGAGAGAGAGAGAGAGAGAGAGAGAGAGAGAGAGUUAAGCUCCUAUGCUUUCGAAAGUACGGAAACCUCUGUACUUGUAAGUUGUUUUCAAUAAUGGGACAUCCGAUUCAGCGAUCGGUUCCGUUAGACAUGAUCUACGCUAUUAGAACUAUCUAGAAACCAAAUUUUAUAAAUUUUUUACUUCGUUUGUCUAGUAAACGAGUAGCCUCAAAAUGAACGGCUGAAAAUUAAAAUCUCAUAAAAAACAGUGAUAAAUGACUCAAAUUUCAAAUCGGAAGUAAUGAUUUUGCUAUUGAUGUUAAGUAGAAUUUUCUAUUAAAUUUUUAUCUAAUUUGGAUAUUUUUACACCGUUGAACUUAAAAACGUGCCAUAUCGACCGUUAAAAUAGUCAUUUUUGAGACCUUUUGAUCGCUUGGUAAAUGAUGUCAAAAAAUUAUAAAAUUUGGUUUCUAAAUAGUUCCAAUAUGGUGGAUUAUAUUUAACGGAGCCGAUCGUCGAAUCGGAUUUCCUAUCAUCGAAAACAACUUACAAGCACGAAAGUUUCCGUACUUUCGAAAGUACAGGAGACUUACUCUAUAUAUAUAUAUAUAUAUAGUAGGGCUCCUGUGCUAUUAGGAGCACAACAGCCCUUGUGCUCCUAAGUUCCUAACCGCUCAUCAAAUUUGAUGGGUGGUUAGGGUGAGAGAGAAAAGAGAAAUUGAAGAGAAAUUUAAGGAGAAGAAAAAUUAAGAAACCCAAUUUCUCUUCAAUUUCUCUUCUUCCUUUCACCCUAACCACCCAUCAAAUUUGAUGGGCGGUCAAGAACUUAGGAGCACAAGGGCUGCUNAGCAUAUAUAUAUAUAUAUAUAGAAUUAUGCUACUAUACUAUCAAUAGUACCAAGCCCUUAGUACUAUUGACUUUUCGGCCGUUGGAUGAAUAGAUGUGCGGUUAGAAUGAUAGUGAUCCCCUAGGGUUGAGUGGGUGGUUGGUUUAAUAGUAUAAUCUAACGGGUGAAAAUAAUCAAAGGGUCGAUCUAACGGUAGAAAAAUCAAUAGUACCAAGGGCUUGGUAUUAUCGAUAGUAUAGUACCUGGACUCUAUAUAUAUAUAUAUAUAGGCCAUGGCUACUAUAUUAUUAUGAGUAUUGGAGCCCUCGUAGAUGUGUCGAAUGCUACUAUAUAUAUAUAUAUAUAUAUAUUGUGAAUUCAGAUGUAGAUGUGUCGAAUGCUAAAUAUUUGUUACUAUAUUUGCUAAAUACGGAUUCAAAUACAAACGGAUUUAUUUUUUCAAUUUCGAAUAUUGAUUGAAUUUAUAUUCUAAUAUUAUUCGUAUAAUAAUAGUGAUUAAUAUGCGCAUAUAAAUAUAAACUAGAAUUGGCAAUAAUAUAACUAAAACUCAAAACAUUUUGUAUUCAAAUUUUUAUAUAUCUAUAUUUUAUUAAAUAAUAUUUAAGAUUUGUUUAACCAAUAGAAAUAUAAUUUUAAUAUAAAACUGAUAAUAAAAUAAACGAAAAUUACAAUAAACCUUCUUAAUUAUUCCCCCCCACAAUAUAAAUAUUAACCUCGUUUUUAUCUGAUCCCCACAAAACCCCAAUUACAUUGCAAAUCGAAAUUUAUAAUUAUAUUUUAAUCUAAAUUUAAAUUUAAAACUACCAUCUAAGUUACACCACCGUAUUUUUUUAUUUUUCCAUAAUAUAUAAAUUUAUAAUAUAUAUUGAUUUUAGGAUAUCCGAAUCGGAAUUCAAAUAUUUUGAUGUAUCCAUUUACGGAUCUGAAUUAAAAAAUAUUAUAAAUAUAGCAUCCCAAUUUGACUUAGACAGUGCUAACCACUUUCACACCUAGUUAGACCCAAAAAUAUACAUGAUUAAUUUGAGUCAACAUUCUUUCUAAUUCUAACUAAGGUUUAAUUUAGCCACUUAUAUAUUUAGGUUUUUUUUUUUUUUUUGUAAUAUUUGUAGAGUACUUUUGGUGUAUUUGUGAUUAAGAUCUUUUAAAGAGAAACAUAUUUUUGAUUAAAUGAAAUCUCUCAUUUGUCUCUACUCAUGGAUGUAAAUUAGUGGCUUGAUCACGUAAUUUACUUGUAAGUUUUACUUUCACCUCCUGUUUUUCAGUUCUCUUCAGUAUAUAAUUUUUGUUCAACAAAUAAGAUUUAUUUUUAGAACUGUCAUAGUAUAUAUCUACUGUAAAUUACACUUCAGCUAUUUUUAGGAGCCACCCUAGCAAAUUUGAACCUAAAGUUGUCCAAAAAACCCAAUAUAUCAUACUCGAUCCGACCCUAUCGAACCCGAACAAAAUCCGAUAAAAAAUGGAUAGUAUACGAGUAAAAAAAAUUAUCUAUUAAAAUUUCGGGUACGGCUCUAGAUAUUUUAUACCCAUAUCCGACUUAAACCCGAUUCGAACCGGACCUUUUAAUUGGUAAGGUUCGGAAGAGUUUCCAAAUCUAGACCCGGAACCGGACUCCGACUCAGUGAAAUAUUUGAUAGUAAAUAAAAAAAAUUAAAGUUGAGGGAUCAAUUUUAAUAGAACUUAUAAAUGAAGGGUCUCUAUAUAUUUUCAUCCUAGUGAAAACUUUAGUCGUUCUAUUUACUCCUUUUUAAAUUUUUUAUUUUACUUAUUUUUUAAAAUUCUGUCUGUUUAUUGCUUGAAUUUUUUUUUUGAACGAAUUUUAUUGGGAUGUGCGCAACUAAUUAGAACGUGAAUUUUUUAUAGUGAGAGGUCUAUGGUUUGUCCAUAAACUAUUUAAUAAAGUUUAUAAAUAAUAUAUGCAUACGAUAAUCCGUAACCGAUCCAUACCUGGUCGUAAGCGGGUAGUCAAUCCAGAUCCGUUCAAAUAGGCCCGAUGACUAUAUUAUUAACUUAAGUAUCCAAUCUCGAACCGGCUCCGAAGUUAAACGGAUAGGAUAUAUUUUUUUUUUCUAUUCAUUUUUUUUAAAGAUAUGGGUAUAUAUAAUAUAUCAACUAUCCAGAUUCGAUCCGGUCUAAGGACACCUUUAUUUGAACCAGAUAAUAAUUAUAUAAACAGAGCCCAAAAAUACUUUAACUGGAAAUAUUAUUUAGUAGUAUUAAGAGCAUCUUCUGAGCCUUACAUCAUGAAUUCCUAGGAUAAGUAGAUAAGAGUAUUCAUGUACACAUGGCUAGGGUUGGUCAAAAUCAGACAAACAGAAACCAGCUCAUUUGGCCCCACACAAGCAUCGAAAAAGCAAACCUAUCUAAGAUUUCCAUUUGGAUUGACCUGUCGCCUAGGUAAAUUGAGCUUUGCCCUUUUUUUUUUCUUUUUCUUUUUUUUUCUUUUUUCAGUUAAGCACUUGUUUGACCUUAUUGUUUAUAUUUAUAUGGGUAUAUCAAAUUUGGAGAUUCUACUCUAACUACAAAAGAUAUAACAUUUGAUGCUAGACCUUCUCAUCUUGAUGUAGAAUGAAGCUGUUAUUAAGAAGUCUUAAUAUGAAUAAAUACCUUUUCAGAACAUGCACUGUAUUCUACAAUAAAGACUUUAUUUAAAGAGUUCUUAUUGGAGCUAUGUGGAUUGACAAACUGUCCCCUAAUAGACUGUGGAUAUGCUGGUAAGCCAUAUAAUAUAUUUCGAUUGUAAAACAAAAAAGAAAAACGCAAGUCUCCUGAAAUUCAUUAUAGAGAAGAGAAACUACCACUCAAAGAAUCAGCAGCCGACUCAAAUAACAAUACAAUAUGUUAACACAAACUAAUCAAAAUUUUUUCUUCAUAGUAUUUAUAUUGUCAUAUAUAUAUAUAUAUAUAUAUAUAUAUAUAUAUAGAGUCCGGCCGGAGUACUAUCGAUAGCACUAAAGAUUUGGUGCUAUCGAAUUUUUCACCGUUAGAUUUAACCCUAUGAUUAUUUUUACCCGUUAGAUUAUACUAUUCAACCAACCACUCACUCAACCCUAGGGGGCCCACAUUAUCCUAACCAUCCAUUUCUCAAUCCAAGAGCUAAAAAAUCAAUAACAUAAGUAGCUUGGUGCUAUUGAUAGUAUUCCAGCCUAAUUCUAUAUAUAUAUAUAUAUAUAUAGACCUAGUCUACUGUAUCAUUAAUAACAUCAAGUCAUUAAUGCUGCUAAGUUUUCAGUCCUUAAAUGGAGGUGAUUAGGAUAAUAGUGAUCUCCUAUCUAGGGUUAGGUGGUUGGUUGAAUAGUAUAGUCUAAUGGACGAAAAUGAUUAAAGUGGUAGAUCUAAUUGUGGAAAACUUGGUAACAUCAAGCAGACACUCAACCCUGGCAGAUCACUAUUAUCCUAACCUCACAUCUCUUCCUCCAAAAAUCAAAAACCUAAUAAUAUAGUAACCUAAUUCUAUAUAGGUAUAAAUAUAUAAAAAGCAGUAGAGGAAAGGGACUCAACAUUUUAUGAGGACCAUUCCUUUUCUGUGGGGGUGUGUACAUUGGCCGGGCAUGUUGGUGGUGCGUGCAUAUCAGAGUCGUUGAGCUGUUACAUGCAACGUCGCGGUUUUGAUUAUUGGCCUCCAUGGCAAGGGAAAAAAAAAAAAAAAAAAAAGUCUAGAAUGCAUUAAUUAUAUUGCUCUAUUUUCAAUUUUCAAUUAAUGAGAUUGUCCUCUUAAAUUCACCCCUCCCAUUAUUAUUAAUAAAAGUAUAUUUUUAUUAUAUUUAUUUUUUAUAAAAAAUAAAUAUAUUUAUUUUUUAUAAAAAAUAAAUAUAAUUGACUUAUUACCCAUAAUAUGGUGUAAGUAUAGUACCGAAGACUUCCUCCAUGGCGGGGCCAUGCUUUUUUAACUCGCAUUUUUAAGGGAUUUAGUUGUCAUAUUCUUCUACGUGUCUCUCUCACCGCUACAAUUUCCUGUCCACCCGCACGUGCAACACAAAUAUUUGAUUUAUUUUCCGUUACAUAUCCUAUUUCGAAAAAAAAAAAAAAAGGUUAUACUCACUGUUAAAUUUGUGAUUAAACAGUAAUAAAUAAAAUAAAAUUACGACAAAAAUAUGUAAAAUCAUAUUUUUCUGUUUUUCAAUAAAAUCAUAUAAUAUUUUUGUCAUCAUAUUGUAAAUGGAGCCUAAACUUGAUUUGGUACAAGUGUUUUUUUUUUUGGAAAAUUGGCUGCAAUAAAAAUAAACUUUGAUAUUCCUCAAAAGUAUGGGGGAUUAAAAAAAAAAAACAAUGAUAUUCAACAAAAAGCUGCAAAAAAAUUUUCUAUACGUCUUCAGAUUCACAAACAGAUGAUACAAUGACGCCGUUUAGUAUCUUAUUAAUUAACCCCAAAAACUCUGGUGAAUAUAAAAGUUUAUAUCAGAUUAAAAUGCGAAAAAGUUACUAAUAUGGUCUGCAUUUAUAUAUAAAAGGCUCUGCUCCGUGUUUUGUUCAUAGACAAGAGGGCAUUCUCACAGUCACUGGACGCAGUACAAUGCCAAAAGAAUCUCAGCAAAUACAACGACAAUGUUAAUCCAGAAGUAUUGUGUAUAACAUGAAAUCAAUUGGCCAGUUGGCUCCGAAUCCAUCCUUGGGUUUAACCCAGAAAAUCGAAAUAACCUCGCCUAACCCUAUCCGGCUUACCUCUACAAGAUGAUUCAUAUACAUGGCAACGAUCCUAGGGAAGUGCCUUAGCUAUCCCAGGGCCUUUCUUUAUAUAAUAAGGCGAUCAAUUCGUACCUGUUAAUGCCUCGUAGAAUCACUUUGAUCAACUAACGUAGCAUCAAUAGAAAGCACAGGGGACUAGCUCUUCUAUCGGCCGGGCAUAAAUACAUGUAUAAAUGACGCCUCCAUACGCUUCUAGCAUAAGCUAAAGUUAGACCAAAAUAUAAUUGGCAUCCCAGAAAAGGAGAAUCGAAUGGAGACCCUCGAAAAAUAUCCUUUUUUUGUCAGCUAUGAAUGUCUACAGGAACUAUGACAAUAACUAGUCACUUGAAGCACUCUUACUAGAUGCGGAAUCUGAGUAAAAAAGAAAAGGCAAAGAGUGAAUAAUUAGUUUGCAAAUAAAAAGGAGAGGAAAAAAAAAAUUGAAAAUGAGCUAGCAACAAUAUUAAACCUCUUGAUCGCUUUUUGCCCUCCAUUGCUUCCUUCUUUUCCUGGCAACUUAGGCAAAGGAAUGGACCGUCCCAGGGUCGCAAUUUGCCAGGCCGUGAUGAAUCGGCAUGCACAGAAAUGCCCUCGCCAGGUUUCAUCUCAAUUUGGCAAAUCGCACAUAUGAAAAGCUUGAACAUGUUCCUAAUUGGAUAUUCUGCUUCUAGCCUGCAGAUAGAGCAAUAUGUGUCAAUCAUUUGGCACUAAAGAAAGCUUUUAUUAUUUAUUUGAAGGGAAACAACAUAUUAGGAAAUGAAGAUUGACAAAUGAAACUUGGCUAACGCCUGUUUGCCCCUUCUGAAGGGCGUAGGGCUGUUUGAGUAAUGUUACUAAAAGCACCAAGCUAAAAUCCCCUCAAAAGCUUCUUCAUAAAGCAGAGUAACAACCUCCAACUUAGAAAUUCCUGCUUUGUGGCCCCAAAAUCUAGUCUCAACUUUCCACCACAGUAGAAGUUUUGUAUUCACCAAGCACUCUAUUAGAGGUGUCCAUAGCCGAAAGCACAAGUAGAAACUAGGACAAACAGGCAGUAAAUAUGAUUAUAGAGACUGCCUACUUUCUAAUAGAGACCAGGUUAAAUGAUGAUAACAGAGAGUACAGCUAUGAAAAAGAUACUAACCGUUGGGAAAGCAUUGCAGAUCCAUCCUCAAAUAUUUCCUCCACCACAUCGGGCUCAGAAUAUUCCCUAUCUACAUUAGAUGAUGACUCGGACGAUUUUCUCCUAAACAUAUUUUUGAACACCCCCAUCCCUUGCUUCUUUGGAGGUGGAACAGUUGGAGUUAUUUUCUCCGGAGGUAAUAUGUCAACUACUAUACAAGUGGUAUCAUCCCUCAGCCCUUUUUCCUGCACAGCUUCCUGCAAAUGAUCAUCUCUACUAUAAUUAAAGGAUUCAAUGAAUGUGGAGCUACCAAUACAUAGCCAAAAUAUAAGGAUAAAGUACGUUGACAAUAUGACUCGCUGCGACAUCUGCUGGCAACCCACGGCAGCAGCUAAGAGCCAUUUCACUGGACAAAGCAUCCCACACGCCAUCGCUUGAUAUGAUAAGCCGACCUCCAGCGUUUGAUAGCUGUAAUAUACAUAUAAAAAUUAUGAUUCACCAGUGCAAUCUCAGUGCAAUAUAUAAUGCAGAAAGAGUGAAAAUCAUAGUAGAUAUCACUCUACAUAUAAAUAGUUGUUGUAAGAGUUGGAUGCGGCUAUCUGCUCAAAAAGAAUUGGAAGUGGGCCAUGUGGCUAGCAUCUGUGAUGCUUAACUAAUGGAUUGAAUAUUCCAUUCAUGGAUAAGGGAUCCAGCUAGCAAUUGGAAGGGGCACUACAUAGAUGACCUCUCAAUUCUAUAUAGUAGCAUAAUAGAUAAACAUAUAAAAAGAGGAAUCGCAAAAUUAAAAGCCACUUAAAAAGCGACCAUUCUCUUCAUCUUCCUGCUCUACCCUCAACCAAAGUCUCUGUCAAAUGUGAGCUGCGUUAUAUACAACACCUUAAAAGACGUGCAUAAAUAUGAAAAAAAUUUCAAAUAUGCAUUGUUGCUACGUGUCAUUUCAAUGAAACAGUCUAGCAAAUAGACUAGGCACUACCAGAGCAAACAGAAGAUAGGAUUAAACAAGCAAAUUUUGACAGCAAUGGAGUGAAUACGUACAAGCAUCGAGCAUCGUUUAAUUGCAUGGUGGAUUAUAAUAUCUAGGCAAACAUGUAGGUCCUGUUAUAUUUAUAGUUAACAGACCUUUACUUGCUUCACAUGCGGAACUGGAACAAUAAAUUCACCAACAUCCAAAUCUCCAAUUGAUCGUGAUAGGCACAAGCCACCUGGCCAACAUCGCAGCGGACCAAUCUGAAAAAUCAGAAAAUAGACACUUCAUAAUUCAGAAAGCUUUCCUAAAAAAAUAAGCCUCAACAUUGCUGCAUAGAUGGAUGACAGCCUACUUAGGGAAAGCAAGAAUAAACAAUGAUCAAGGUGUCAAAGGUUCAAACAAACCUCAGCACCGCCAACAACAUUUAAUCUUCCAACCUCACCUCCACUUGCUAUUAUACGUUCCACCCUGCAGGGCAGCAAAUAUGGGUAAAAUUAGAUACUAAUAUCUGAAGAAACGAAAUCUAAAAAUCUAACAAAAAGUCAAAAGACUCGAAACCUACUCCUCUUCAUUAGCCUCUAGCCGAUGAUCAGCUGACAAAUAGUAAACUGAACCUUCAGCUGAUUCAAGUAUACAACGUGAAUCACCAACCGAUGCAACAGUUACAACCCAUCCGUCUAUUAUGACGAACGUCACGGUUGUCCCUGAAGUGUGAGCUGAAAGAGUCAAUAGUUAAUUUUCCAGAAGAGCAGAUCAAGGUAAGUAACAUUGAUCAACAACUAAUCAAAUACUCCACAAGAGUGAACAAGCAAGAACAUAAUGUGACGGUUUAUCAACAGACAUAGUUUCAACCCCUCAGAAAAUCUUAGAGAUUUAAUAACCAGUACUGUCAUGCUAACCAUAAUAAUGGUCACUUUCAAGUUCAAUCCAUAAUUUUAAAAAUAUAGAUAUACAAGAACUUUAAUCUAAAAGUGCAUGUGCACGCUGCAAAAAUGAAACCAUAGGAACCAUGACACCUUUUAGAAGAAACAGGCAUCUACUCAGUACAGAUAUGCACCUUUUGUUUGGAAAUCUUUAUCUGUUUUGACAAAUCCUGCAACCAAAGCUCGUGGAAGUGCAGCUAGCCAUUCAUCCCGGUUAAGAUCUGAAGGAAUGGCACUCACAAUAUUGUUCAGGAGAUUGUCCUUCGCAUAUAAUGCAGCUCCUGUUCCAUUAUGCCCAUCAAAUAGCUAGAAGAAAGGACAAAUUUGAUAAAAAUCAAUUAGAUAGUGCAAAAUUAACGUGACAGAGAUCUUCUGAGUUGAAUAUUUGCUCAUAGCACGCAAGAACUAGUAGGCAUGAAGUGCAAUUAAGCUCUGAGAUCUGGCGUGUGAUCAUAUGCUUAGACAAGAUAGUAACAAUUGCCUUUUUGUUCAAACAAGAGAGAAUCAUGCUACGUGAACAGAAAGAAACAGGAAAUAACAAGUCGAACAACGACAAUUUGUGUGAUGGGCCAACAUAAUGUUGGACAAAAAAUAUAUUGCUAACUAUGAAACAUAUAAUGAGCAAAUUAAUUAAUUACAUUAACAUGUCAUAUGGGGGACCAAAUACUAGAUAAGCAUUAAUUACAUCAAGAAGUACAAAAAUAAAGGGCAAAUAAUUGAUCGCCAUGCCACCAACAACCUAGAUUGUAGAGUAUACUCAAUAAAUGCAUUUCUAAAAUGCAGAAAGAAUAGCUCAAGAUUACAUUAGAUUGUGCCGACCACAUAAAAGGUUUCUCAACAACACUCACUGAGAAAUCAAAUGUCCAUUUGUAAGAGGUGCAGUAUCUGUACGAUUAAUACAUUUACUCCAUGGUAUAAGAUGGAUCAAACAGGUAGCAUUAACAAUGGAAGAUGAUCUUCCUAGAGUUUGUAAAGCCACUAAAAUCGCAUAGUAGCUUUAUUAAAAACAAUUUCUACUAGUUUUAGCACCUACAUUUACCUUUUUCCUUAGAAAAAAUAUUUGCGACUGGAUUCGGCCACCAUAUUACAUUUAAUAUAUAUGAUUAAAAGACAGGUCUACAAAAGAAAAAAAUUACGAAUAAGAUUAAAAAAAUUUUCAAAAAAAAAUAUAUAUAGAACCAACCAAUUCAAACCAUUCAUGUAUCAAAUAAAAAUCCAUGAUAUAUAUAUAUAUAUAUAUAUAUAUAUAUAUAUAUAUAUAUAUAUUAACAGGCAAUGUGAAUUAAGGUCGAGGAUGAAGAACACUUUAUAAAACUGUGACAACAUUUCUAGACGAUUCCUAACACAAUAUAUUCCACAAAACCCUUCAUUCCAUAACUUCUCCGAACAAAUCGCGCUCCCGAUAUACUACUAUGCAAUACACAUCGUUCUUGGCUCGUUAGGAUGUGUUGUGAAGAAGAGAGAGAGAGAGAGAGGAGAGAGAGAGAGAGAGGAGAUGGGGGAUAUACCGCGAAGACGGAGAAGUGGAGAGGCCUCGCGGGCACGCGCUCGCACUCGGUCUUGAGGAGGGUGAAGUCUUCCCCCUUUUGCUCUGGUUCGCCUGGCCGUGCAGUAUGUCCGGCCUCUCGAUCUUCUCGCUCGUCAGCUCCCUCUUCAGCAGCCACGCCAGCGGCACCAUCCGUUCCUCCGCCUUCGCCGCCAUCCCCGCCCCCAUCCUCUCUCUCUCUCUCUCUCUCUCUCUCUCUCUCCCUCCUCUUCUCCUACACUCUCCUCCUCCUCAACAGCAACAACAACAACAAUCUCGUUUCCCUUUCUCUAUUUCUCUCUCGCUCAACGCCUCUCCUCCCCCACAAUCUCCUCCUCUUCCUCAACGACAACAACAACAGCAACAAUGUCGUCUAUUUUGCUCUAGAUCGAAUCAAAAACAAGAAAGAAAAGAAAGAAAAAUCGAGCGGAGAAUCGGCGCUCACGCGCAUUCACCUCCCGGAGCGGAUUCGAGGGAUGGAUCGAUCGAUAAGAUGUUGAGCGAUCGAUCUCUUCACAUGCGGAGGAGGAUUCCACGGAUCGGUUACGUGACAGAGAGAGAGAGAGAGAGAGAGAGACGCGGAAAUGGUGCCACCCCUCCACGCGGAUUCGCCUCCCCCAAUUCGGGAAAUGCUCGGAAGCGAGGGUUAUGGAUCGAUGGGAGAGGAAGAAAAAAGGAAAGAAAGGUAAUUGAAAGGAAACGAAGCGAUUUAUUCUUUUUAGUAAUGCAUUUUUCUUUUUUUCUUUUCUUUUUCCCCCCUUUUUUUUUCCUCGCUUCGCAGAGAGAGAGAGAGAGAGAGAGAGAGAGACGAGGAGAGGAGGAGGCG
rnacentral:lncRNA from 1 species